UUUUUUUUUGGUGUUUGUUGUACCGACAUGAGUAAGAUGAAUAGAUUGAAUGUUUCUCCCAAAAAGGAAUCAUGUUUACUAAAUGAAUAAAUAAUCAUGGAUGAAAACUGAAAUUAAAAACAUUGGUGAUCAUGUCGGGGAGGGGAAGACAACAGUCCACCGCAUCCGACAAGGAGAAUUCCUUAAGGAGCGUUCGACUAAUACUUGCACCUUCAAUGCCAGUCUCGAGCAUUCAUUCGACCUCAUCAAGCCUUGAGGCGCUUUAUCACUGCAGAGAGCGUUUGUAUAAAACUCUCCCGUUUCUCCAAGGCACCAUUCUUGAACGGGAUUUGCCGUCAUCUAGAUUAGCCACCACACAAGUCUGAUCUUAGACCGAACAACGGUAUUGAAAACAUGGUAUUUUUUUAGUUUUUCAAGUGCACCACGGAGUACAAGCGCAAAUAGAAUUAAGAGCAUAAUGAUUUUUGUUUGGUAGCAAAAAUCUCGCCACUGGUAGAUAAUCAACACUCACAGGUUUACCAAAGUAUAUGGAAAUAACUGUUGGAAAUAUGAGCAAUUUACCGAGUGAUUUUAUUAACAGAAAUACUAGAUAAAGUAUGACUAGUGUGGCAGUGAUAAAACAAAUCAUGCGAUUUGACAAAGAGAACGUAAACAACAUCUUCAUAUAUGAACCGUAACUAAACAUAUCUUGAGCAGACAGUAUAGGAAGUUGCAUAUAUAAAAUAAAGUGUAACAUAUCUAGGGCAAAUACUAGAACAAGGAACUGUAGCAGAACCUCUAAUAGAAAGGGGACGAACACGUACGGGGCAGCAGCAGCAGAAGCGUUGGACUUGGGGUCGGUGUCCUCGCCAGCCAUGUCGUCGAGGAGGUCGUGGACGUCGGGGAAGAAGUCGUCGUCGGGGAAGUAGUCGUCGGAGUCCGGGGCGUCCGUGACGAAGAAAUCAGUAGUCGCGCGAAGCGCUCCCCAAAAACAUUAUCACCCUUCUCCCGCACAGGACUCAAAAAGGUGCGGUUUUGGAGACCUACUGUCCCGACUCGCGGUGCACGCCGCAAGCCGGGAUGAGGAAGACAGCAGCAACGCAGAGAUUGGAACCUGGUGGCGAGAGGAAGGAGAAGUUUUGGUGCGUCACUCCGAGAGGAGCGAUCUCCCUUUUAUAGGCGCAAGAGAAGGAGGCGAGAGGGCAGCGACGGAAGGUGAAACGAAGAGACGAAGAUGAAGCGAACAGCCAGCAACCGAAGGGCUGCACCGUUCGCAUUCAAACUCCACUAUCACAAAAACGUUUCAGCUUUUGUACCUUUCGUAUACCCAUCGUGCGUGGCAAAAAUUUAGACAUCGGCUCAGCUCAUUCCCGCGGCGCGGCGCGGCGCGACGAGGCGGGCGGCGGAGGAGGAGCGCGCGUGGAUGUCCCUCUUGUUCUCAUGCUCAUACAUGUGGGGAAAGAACUUCCCUUAUAAAGAGAUCCAACUCCCUCUAAACUAGCAAUGUGGGACUAAACUUUAGUUCCACCUCUUGCCUUGCACGAAUGGGUUGCGUGAGCCUCUAGGACUUAUUAGGAAUUUCUGAAACUGCUAUUGGGCUGGCCCAUAAUAGACAAAAUUCCAGCAAUCCCCCACCAGAUCCCAGAGGCACACAAAAUUUGCCUUUGGUUCCAAAACACUGUUUUAUAUACCGGUACUGCAGUGGAGACUGUUAAGUUGAACUCCCACCUAGAACUCUAUGCUACACUAGUAAGCAACUUGAACAGUGGACUGGGCCUUGAACUGCAAGUUUUCUGCAAAUCUAGCUUCACAUAAAGCCUUGAUCGAUACGUGGCUACCGUGGGUCUUCCCCGCGGGUGGAGCUUAUGCUUCAUACUCCGAGACCUUUCAUGAGUUUACUAGAGAGAACCCUACUCUCAUAGAUUGCGACGUUUAACAAUCAGACUCAUAUAGGUGCGUUCUUCAAAAGAUGUUCAGCAGGACAACAUCUCUGCUUCAAAGAGCCACUUAGAACACAUUAAGAUAUACAUCAACCUGCCAUGCAGAUUAGGAGAGUAUUGCAUCUUCAUGGAGUGGUAUUUUUAACAGUAAGGAUACUCUCCUCCCGGUUGACCAACAGCUUGUCUUCCACACCUAAUUCACGGGAUCUCUGAUCACAAAGAAUAGGUUACCACUGUGAACGACUCAUAUUGUGGGUCUCAUACCCAUCUCCCUCGAUGCAUUAUCUAUCACAUUACGUGAUAGACCCUUAGUAAAAGGAUCUGCCAGAUUUUUAGACGUUUGGAUAUAAUCCAAUGCAAUAACUCCGAAGUUUCUCAUUUCCUGACAGACUUUAACCUUCUCUGAACGUGUCUUGAUGACUUCAUGUUAUCCUUUGAGCUGCUCACUUUCGUGAUCACAGUUUGAUUGUCACAGUUCAUAAGGAUACCCGGUACUGGUUUCUCAACUACCGGCAAGUCAUUCAAGAGCCGGCGAAGCCAAUCUGCUUCGACCGUAGCUGUAUCUAGUGCUGUGAGUUCUGCUUCCAUUGUUGACCUUGCUAAGAUGGUCUGCUUGCAAGACUUCCAAGAAACAGCGCCACCUCCAUGAGUGAAUACAUAUCUGCUCGUGGCCUUUAUCUCAUCAGCAUCUGAGAUCCAGUUUGAGUCACUAUACCCUUCAAGCACCUUUUGGUGCCCAGUGUAGUGAAUUCCAUAAUUCGCAAUGCCUUUCAAAUAUCGCAAAACUCUCUCUAGAGCUUUCCAAUGCACAUCUCCUGGUUUUGAGACAAACCGGCUCAGUUUGCUAACAGCAAAAGAGAUGUCAGGUCUUGUAGCACUGGCUAAGUACAUAAGCGAGUCAAUAAUCUGAGAAUAUUUCAAUUGGUCUCUAGCAAUUCUUCGAUUCUUUCGAAGCAACACACUAGCAUCAUAUGGUGUUGGAGAGGGCUUGCAGUCACUGUAGCCAAAGCGACUCAAGAUCUUUUCCACAUAGUGAGAUUGAAGCAAUGUAAUCCCACCAUCAUCGUCUCUCAACAACUUGAUGUUCAGAAUGACAUCAGCUACUCCUAAAUCCUUCAUCUCAAAACAGCAAGAUAGGAAAUCCUUGACCUCCUUAAUAACAUUCAGAUUUGUUCCGAAAAUCAGUAUGUCAUCAACAUACAAGCAAAGCAUAACUCCCUCGCCCCCACCAUGGCGAUAGUACACACAUUUGUCAGCUUCAUUCACAACAAAGCCUGCAGCUGUUAAAGUUCUUUCGAACUUCUCAUGCCACUGUUUGGGUGCUUGCUUGAGUCCAUACAAAGACUUCAGCAACUUGCACACUUUCCCUUCCUGACCAUCUAUUACAAACCCAUCUGGUUGUUCCAUAUAAAUUUCCUCGUCCAACUCUCCAUUUAGGAAAGCAGUCUUAACAUCCAUUUGAUGACCGAGAAGACCAUGUGAGGCAGCUAGUGAAAGUAGAAGUUGAAUAGUGGUCAGUCGAGCCACGGGUGAGUAAGUAUCAAAGAAGUCUUCACCUUCCUUUUGAGUAUAACCCUUAGCCACGAGCCGAGCCUUGUACUUUUCAAUAGUACCAUCAGGCCUAAGCUUCUUCUUGAAUACCCAUUUGCAUCCUAUAGGUUUGCACCCAUAAGGACGAUCAGUUAUCUCCCAAGUUUCAUUCGCCAAGAUGGAAUCCAUCUCGCUACGAACUGCUUCCUUCCAGUAGUCAGCAUCUUCAGAUGCAUAGGCCUCUGAAAUAGAACUGGGAGUGUCAUCUAUGAGAUACACAAGAAAAUCAUCACCAAAGGACUUUGCACUCCUCUAUCUCUUUGCUCCUAGUAGGAGCUUUAUUGUUUUCCUCCACAUGACUUUCAAAGUGUUCCAUCGAAAUGACAGGUUCAGUAAUUGUAACUGGUUCCUGAUUCGAUGAACUAGGCAUCUCCUGAUUAGAUGAGGUAGCCAUAUCCUUCAUGGGAAAGAUAUCUUCAAAGAAAGUUGCAUCAUUCGACUCCACGAUCAUACCGACAUGCAUGUCAGGUACCUCAGAUUUUACAACCAAGAAUCUAUAGCCAAUGCUAUGAAAAGCAUAUCCCAGGAAAACACAAUCCAUAGUCUUUGGUCCCAGCUUCCGCUUCUUUGGAAUUGGCACAUUGACUUUCGCCAAACAACCCCAGGUUCGUAGAUAAGAGAGCUUUAACCUUUUCUUCUCCCAUUUCUCGAAUGGAUUUAUCUCUUUGUUCUUUGUGGGAACUCGGUUUAGGACAUGACAUGCAGUCAAUAUCGCCUCCCCCACCAUACCUUGGAGAGACCCGAUGUGUUUAACAUGGCGUUAACCAAAUCAGUUAGAAUACGGUUCUUUCGUUCGACCACCCCAUUUUACUGAGGUGAAUAGGGAGGCAUCCUCUCAUGGAUUAUACCAUGUUCCGCACAAAAGGAAUCAAAUUCAUUUGAGAAAUACUCUCCACCAUGAUCGGACCUAAGCCUCUUGAUCUUUCGAUCAAGUUGGUUUUCCGCUUCAGCUUUAUAGAUCUUGAAGUAGUUCAAAGCCUCAUCCUUAGAUUUCAGAAGAUACACAUGGGCAGUAUCUAGUGGAGUCAUCAAUCAACGUCAUAAAAUACUUCUUUCCACCUUUUGUCAAAACACCAUUCAUUUCACAUAGAUCUGAAUGUAUGAGCUCUAAUGGUGCAAGAUUUCUCGUUUCCGCAGUCACAUGAGACUUACGAGGUUGCUUAGCUUGCACACACACCUGACACUUAUAUCCCUUGACAGUGGUGAAACUAGGGAUUAAGUUUAACUUCGCUAGUCGCGACAUGCAACCAAAGUUAACAUGACAGAGACGUGAAUGCCACACAUUUGAUUCACUAUUGUUGCAAAUAUGAUUAACAACUUUAUUGCAAACGUUUGAAAAAGAUAAACGAAACAGGCCUCCUGACUCAUAGCCUUUACCAACAAAGGUUCCAUACUUGGAUGUUACAAAUUUAUUCGACUCAAACACAAGCUUGUAGCCAUCUCUACACAGAAGAGAUCUGCUAACAAGAUUUUUAUUGACGGAGGGGACAUAAUGCACGUUCUUCAGCCCCACGAUCUUCCCCGAAGUAAACUUCAGAUCGACCGUGCCAACACCAUGAACAGAAGCACUUGAACCGUUGCCCAUUAGCACGGUUGAAGUCCCUGCGGUCUGAUAAGACAAAAACAUGGAAAUAUCACCGCAUACAUGCACAUUAGCACCCGUAUCAAUCAACCAAUCAGGAGAAUGACAUACUGAAAGAAUAGUGGGAAAUAUACCAUACCCAACAUCCUUCAUGUCAAUUUCUCCGAUGACAACAUAAGCGGUCUUGCCGCCUUUCCCAGGAUGACGCUUGUCAUAGCGAUUAGGGCAACUUGGAGCCCAAUGAUCAGGAUCUCCACACACAUGACAAACACCUUUCUUCUUGUCAUUCUUCUUCUUGAAGUUCAUGUGUUGUACAACCUUGUUCUUCCCAUCAAACUUUGCUUUAUCAUCAAGAUUGCCCUUGUUCUUGAACUUGUGGGACUGGAAGUUUUUCUUCUGUACCAUAUUGGCACUAGAUCCUCCCUCAAUACCUCGAGCACGUUUUUUUUAGAAAAGGGGGGGUCCCCGGCCUCUGCAUCAGAACGAUGCAUACGGCCAUAAAUAUAAGUAAAAAGGUUUUACAAAGUCUCAAAGUUUGGAAAUGUAAAUAGAGGGAAGCUCACACAGAGCCUCAACGCAAACAGAAAAAAGCCACAAAGCCACAACCGGCUGGCAGAAUAAAGAUAGGAAAACUAAUCGCCUAUCCUAUUACACGACUGCCAUCCAAACCGGUUGAAGAUAUCCCGCGCAACCAUCUCCCACCGGACAGACCCAGUAACCAAAUGCUCCCUGGCCGCCAUUGGAGUGAGUAAGGACCACAAACGGAUCAGCGCCGUAGCACGGAAUAAAACCUGCAAAAAAUGAAUAGUUGUUGUUCUGUUAAAAGCCAAAUCAUUCCUGCAGUUCCAAAUUGCCCAUAACAACGCACAUACUCCAACACGAAUGUGUCCAGCGGUAUCGGUGUUGGGGAACGUAGUAAUUUCAACAAUUUCCUACGCACACGCAAGAUCAUGGUGAUGGCAUAGCAACGAGAGGGGAGAGUGUUGUCCACGUACCCUCGUAGACCGUAAGCGGAAGCGUUAGAACAAUGCGGUUGAUGUAGUCGUACGUCUUCACGGCCCGACCGAUCAAGCACCGAAACUACGGCACCUCCGAGUUCUAGCACACAUUCAGCUCGAUGACGUCCCUCGAACUCCGAUCUAGCCGAGUGUCGAGGGAGAGUUCCGUCAGCACGACGGCAUGAUGACGAUCUUGAUGUACUACCGACGCAGGGCUUCGCCUAAGCACCGCUACGAUAUUAUCGAGGUGGAUUAUGGUGGAGGGGGGCACCGCACACGGCUAAGAGAUCCAAGGGAUCAAUUGUUGUUGUGCCUAGAGGUGCCCCCCUGCCCCCGUAUAUAAAGGAGCAAGGGGGGAGGGGGCGGCCGGCCUAGUAGGGGCGCGCCAAGGGGAGUCCUACUCCCACCGGGAGUAGGACUCCCUCCUUUCUUGUUGGAGUAGGAGAAGGGGGAAAGAGGGGGAGAGGAGGAAGGAAAGGGGGCCCGCAUCCCUUGUCCAAUUCGGACCAGAGGGGGGCUGCGCGCCUCCUUCCUUUCGGCCUCUCUCCUCUAUUCCCGUAUGGACCAAUAAGGCCCAUAUACUCCCCGGCGAAUUCCCGUAACUCUCCGGUACUCUGAAAAAUACCCGAAUCACUCGGAACCUUUCCUAACUCCGAAUAUAGUCGUCCAAUAUAUCGAUCUUUACGUCUCGACCAUUUCGAGACUCCUCGUCAUGUCCCCGAUCUCAUCCGGGACUCCGAACUCCUUCGGUACAUCAAAACUCAUAAACUCAUAAUAUAACUGUCAUCGAAACCUUAAGCGUGCGGACCCUACGGGUUCGAGAACAAUGUAGACAUGACCUAGAACUAUUCUCGGUCAAUAACCAAUAGCGGAACCUGGAUGCUCAUAUUGGCUCCCACAUAUUCUACGAAGAUCUUUAUCGGUCAAACCGCAUAACAACAUACUUUGUUCCCUUUGUCAUCGGUAUGUUACCUGCCCGAGAUUCGAUCGUCGGUAUCUAAUACCUAGUUCAAUCUCGUUACCGGCAAGUCUCUUUACUCGUUACGUAAUGCAUCAUUCCGUAACUAACUCAUUAGCUACAUUGCUUGCAAGGCUUAUAGUGAUGUGCAUUACCGAGAGGGCCCAGAGAUACCUCUCUGACAAUCGGAGUGACAAAACCUAAUCUCGAAAUACGCCAACCCAACAUGUACCUUUGGAGACACCUAUAGUACUCCUUUAUAAUCACCCAGUUACGUUGUGACGUUUGGUAGCACCCAAAGUGUUCCUCCGGUAAACGGGAGUUGCAUAAUCUCAUAGUUACAGGAACAUGUAUAAGUCAUGAAGAAAGCAAUAGCAACAUACUAAACGAUCAAGUGCUAGGCUAACGGAAUGGGUCAAGUCAAUCACAUCAUUCUCCUAAUGACGUGAUCCCGUUAAUCAAAUGACAACACAUGUCUAUGGUUAGGAAACAUAACCAUCUUUGAUUAACGAGCUAGUCAAGUAGAGGCAUACUAGUGACUAUAUGUUUGUCUAUGUAUUCACACAUGUAUCAUGUUUCCGGUUAAUACAAUUCUAGCAUGAAUAAUAAACAUUUAUCAUGAGAUAAGGAAAUAAAUAAUAACUUUAUUAUUGCCUCUAGGGCAUAUUUCCUUCAAUCGGACUCUAUCCCAGCAAGCCACGUUCCAAACAACGAACCUACCGAGUCCGGGGGAGUAAUGUUAAAGGCAAUUUGCACCGUGCGCCACAAGACUCUCGCCAAUGGGCACUCGAAGAAGAGGUGCUUAAUGGUCUCGUCCCGAUCACAGAAGCUACACCUAGUAGAGCUUGUCCAAUUGCGCUUAACCAAGUUGUCCUUUGUUAAAAUGACUUGUUUAUGUACAAACCACAUAAACACUUUAAUCUUCAAAGGAACUUGAACUUUCCAAACAUGUUUGGAACUAGGAAUGACGCUAGAGUUAAUGACAUCAAUAUACAUCGACUUAACCGUAAACACUCCAGACCUAGUAAGUUUCCAACACAAUUGAUCGGGCUGAUGAUCUAACUGAACCUCCAUCAGUCUAGUCACCAGAUGAAGCCAAGCUUCCCACCUAUCACCAAUAAGCACCCUCCGAAACUGGAUAUUAAGGGGAACGGACUGCAUAAUCGUUGCAACCAGCGCGUCACGUCGUUGAACAAUACGAUAUAGGGAUGGAUACUGUAACGCCAAUGGUGUAUCACCAAGCCACGUAUCCUCCCAGAAACGGGUAUUGUUACCAUUACCGACGACAAACGUUGUUCUAUUAAAGAAGGCGGCCUUAACUCUCAUAAGCCCCUUCCAAAACGGCGAGUCCUUUUGUCUCACGGUCACCUGUGACAAAGUCUUGGACUACAGAUACUUGUUACGAAGAAUCUGUGCCCACGUUGCGUCUGUCUCAACAGAUAACUUAUACAACCACUUACUGAGAAGGCAUCUGUUCUUGACCUCAAGAUUCUCAACACCCAGACCCCCUUGGUCCUUUGGUCGACAGAUUACAUCCCAUUUGGCAAGUCUGUACUUUCUCUUAAGAUCAUCACUCUGCCAAAACAAUCUUGAUCGGUAAAAGUCCAGCCUUUUCCGAACCCCAACUGGAACUUGGAAGAAAGAUAGAAGGAACAUCGGCAUACUCGUGAGCACCGAAUUGAUAAGAAUCAGCCGGCCUCCAUAAGACAUGAGUUUGCCCUUCCAACAACUGAGUUUUUUCUCAAACCGAUCCUCGAUGCACUUCCACUCUUUGUUUGUUAGCUUACGAUGGUGAAUGGGUAUACCUAGGUACGUGAAAGGUAAAGCCCCUAACUCACAUCCAAACAAUUGCCUAUAAGCCUCUUGUUCCUCCUUGGCUCUACCAAAGCAGAACAACUCGCUUUUGUGAAAGUUAAUCUUUAAUCCGGACAAUUGUUCAAAUAAGCAUAACACUAGCUUCAUAUUUCUCGCUUUUACCAAGUCAUGCUCCAUAAAGAUGAUUGUAUCAUCAGUGUACUGCAGAAUGGAGACACCCCCGUCAACCAGAUGAGGCACCAAGCCACCCACCUGACCGGCCUCCUUUGCCCUUCCUAUAAUAAUUGCCAACAUGUCCGCCACAAUGUUGAACAAAAUAGGAGACAUCGGAUCACCUUGCCUCAGGCCUUUGUGUGUUUGGAAAUAAUGACCUAUAUCGUCAUUCACUUUAAUUCCAACACUCCCUUUUUGCGUGAAGGACUCUACCUGGCGUCGCCAAGCUUCAUCGAAUCCCUUCAUACGCAAGGCCUGUUGAAGGAAGGGCCAUUUGACUUUGUCAUACGCUUUCUCGAAAUCCACUUUGAAAAUAUCCCCGUCCAGCUUUUUCGUGUGGAUCUCAUGGAGCGUUUCAUGAAGGACCACAACCCCUUCAAGGAUGUUCCUGUCCGGCAUGAAAGCAGUUUGGGUAGGCUGUACCACAGCGUGCACAAUCUUUGUGAGCCUAUUAGUCCCAACCUUGGUAAAGAUUUUGAAGCUAACAUUUAGAAGACAGAUGGGCCUGAAUUGCUCAAUUCUCACAGCCUCUAUUUUCUUAGGGAGAAGGGUUAUCGUACCAAAAUUCAACUGGAAAAGUUGAAGCUGUCCAGAGAAGAGAUUAUUAAACAGAGGCAACAGAUCCCCCUUAAUAAUAUGCCAGCACUUCUUAUAAAACUCCACCGGAAGACCAUCAGGGCCCAGUGCCUUAUUAUUUUUCAUCUGCGAUAUGGCCUCGAACACCUCUUUCUCAGAAAAAGGAGCCGCGAGAAUAUCAUUCUCCACCGCUGUGAGUUGAGGGACAUCCUCAACCCUGGACUCAUCCAAGGACACGCAGUUAUCCUCAGGAGGACCAAACAGCUGCUUGUAGUACUCAGUAAUAUACUGCUUAAGGUUUUCAUGACCUACAAUUGUUCAUUCAUCUUGCUCAAGCUGAAAGAUCCUCUUCUUUCUAUGUUUACCAUUAGCGAUCAUGUGAAAAAAUUGAGUGUUCGCAUCCCCCUGGACUACUCGCCGGACCUUGGCCCGCAACGCCCACUUCAAUUCCUCCUCUCGAAGGAGUUCUUUCAGCCUCAUCUCCGCAUCAAGCUUGGCAUGAAGCUCCAUGGCCGGCAGAACCGUGGUUUCAGCUUUCACAUCUAGGGCCUGAAUAAGGGAAAGGAGCCUUUCCUUUUCGACCUUAUAAAUCCCGCUAAGAUGUUUAGCCCAACCACGCAGGAAGCUUCUCAAAUGCCUAAUCUUAUUCUGCCAGCGCUGGAUCGCAGUCUUCCCUCCUGAAUCCUUAGCCCACUCUCUGGCUACGAGAUCAAAGAAACCUUCUCGCUCAAACCAAGCCAGCUCAAACGAGAAGGAGUUUUUAUUACCCAGGGGGUGGCCUCACCAGAGUCCACAAACAACGGCGUGUGAUCAGAAAUCCCACGGGACAAAGCCUGAACUGUUACUAGAGGACUUCUGUUCCCACUCGACGCUCGCCAACACUCUAUCCAACUUCUCAUACGUCGGAUUUGGCAACGCAUUAGCCCAGGUAAAUUUCCUACCAGAGAGCUCAAUUUCUCUCAGGUCAAGACUUUCAAUGAUAGUAUUAAACAUGAAUGACCAUCGGCCAUCAAAGUUAUCAUUGUUCUUAUCCUCACGCCGUCUAAUGAUAUUGAAAUCGCCCCCCACCAGGAUAGGAAGCUGCUCGGAGCCGCAAAUCCUAACGAGAUCCGCCAAGAACUCGGGCUUGAGUUCGGGUUGUGCAGCCCCAUAUACUGCAACCAGAGCCCAAUUAAAACCAUCCUCCUUCGAUCUAACCCGAAACUUGACCGCAAAGUCACCCAUAACCACACUUCGAACCUCGAGCGCUUCGCAUCGAACGCCGAGCAAGAUCCCACCCGAUCUCCCUCUUGGUGGCAAGCAACGCCAAUCGAAGUCAAUCCCGCCCGACAAAGUACUAAGAAACUGAGGUGCAAAAUUAUCUCUACCGGUCUCCGAUAGAGCUAUAAAAUCUAAUCGAUGCUCGACCGCCGCCUCAGCAAGAAAUCUUCUUUUAGCCAAGUCCUUUAGACCUCUGCUAUUCCAAAAGAUCCCCUUCAUAGUUCAUCAUGGAAUUUUUUAGCCGUAUGAAUCCUAGCACUCCUAUGCACCGCGGACACCGGGUACACCUUCCGUUUCCACUUGCGUUUCGGGUUAACAUGGCUUUGUAACUGGUCCUCACAACCCAUCGCAGAAGGUCCAUGCAAAACCGCCUGAGAAGUUUCCUCCUCCUCCUCCGCCUCCGGAAUAGCAUGAAUAAGGUCCGCACAGAAAGGAUCAAGCACCCUGACCCCCAGAGCCUCAACCUCAGAAUCACUCAUAGGCCUAACCGCCGCAAUGUUACGAAUCAUCUCUAAGGCCCUCUCAGCCUCUAGAUCAAGAAGGUCAUUAACGGAAUUGGAGAUUUCAGUGACAUUACUACCAAGUGAGACUCCUAAUUGAUUUGCAUUUUCAACAAUCUCAUCAUUAGAAAAAUGCAUGAUGGAACUAGAAAUAUUAACCGACAUACCGGUAGUGGCCUCAACGUCACGAAGCUUGGCCGCCCUCAUGGCGCACCGCUGCUGGAUGUCGUCCACAUCAGACAUAGUCUGGAGGCGAUCGCUCACCCGUCGCCCCUCACACAUCUGGUCAUGAAUCCCUCCAAACGCAAUCACCUCCUCACGAGAGAACCUGGACAGGGUAGGACCACCUACCUCACUCCUCUGGCAAGGCUGAGCAGAAGCCCCGACCACCGGCGAUGGGCUCACCCCACAAGGCGGAGCUGGAGGUGAACGGGGGGAAGGGAGUGCAUGGGUGAAAGGAUCGAGAUGGACCUAGAGGGGGGGUGAAUAGGUACAAUUACAAAUUUUAAUUACUACUUGACAAUUUUUAGGCAAUAAUGCGGAAUAUGAAGAUGAGCCUAACAAUUGCACGUGAGCACAAACUACUAAGCAAGUAACACAAACACGUAAGUAGGCAAGCACAAUAUAAUGUAUGCAAGUGUAAAGAGACAAGUAACCACAAGUAGAGAGUUAAGGUUAGGAAUAACCGCAACUCCGGGAGACGAGGAUGUAAGCCGAUGUUCACUCCCUUGGAGGAGAGCUAGUCACCAUUAGAGGGAUGGAUGUUACCACGAAGGCACACCAACGCCACGAAGGCUCACCGUAUUCUCCCUUUGAGACAACACCACGGAGGCGUUUCUCAACCACUAGUGGUAGACCUUGGGGUGGUCUCCAAACCCUCACAAACUUUUCCGAGGGUAAUCACAAAGGUCGAUUCCUCUCCGGAUGACUCCUACCGCCUAGGAGUCUCCAACCUCCAAGAGUAACAAGAACGAUGGGGAAAUGCUCAAAACUUGCUCAAGUCAUGAAUUCCUUUGGUGCAAAGAAGGGGAAGAAGUGGAUCUAUCACUUGAUUGGAGAACUUCUCUCAAAAAGCUCCUAGAACACUUGGAAUCUAGGAUUUAGUGUGGAUGAAUGAGAGAGAAAGUGAGGAGUGUUCUUGUGGGGCUCAAAGUGAAUGGUCAACCCUAUCUCGUGGAAGGGAAGGGAGUAUAUAUAGGUGGUGGGAAAAAGUGACCAUUUGGGGUACAGGAUGGCCGGACGUCCGGAGAACGUCGGACGUCCGGAGGCCCAAAUGGGUCCGGACGUCCGACAGUCAUCGGAUGACCGGCCGCUGUGAAAAGUGUGACCCACAAUCCAGUGUACAGGAUACGGACGUCCGAGCUGGGCCGGACAUCUGUAAGAAUGCUUCUGAUGUGAAUGAAAGUGCGUUAUGUCGACUAGAGGGGGGGUGAAUAGGCGAUUUUUAUGAAUUCUUCACUGAGGAAUUUGCCGGUGAGGAAAUUCCUUAGCGAAGAACUAUUAGCAGCGGAAUAAGUACUCAGAAGUAAGCAUAACACAAUACAAGCAUGGUCAUCAUGAUGAAAUGAAGACUAGCACAGAGUACAGAAAGCGUAAUCACAGGAUAACACAAGAUGAAGACAAACAGACUGAAGAAAUUGAACUGAGGAAACUCUUCAGUCAAAGUCUUCAAACACAGAUAUGAACAAACACUCAACACAGUAAUGAGGAAAUGAAAGGGUUGAGGAAAUAGAACCAGUUAGGUUGGUGAAGACAAUGAUUUGGUAGACCAGUUCCAACUGCUGUCUUAGUUGUACGUCUGGUUGGAGCGGCUGAGUAUUUAAACUCGAGGACACACAGUCCCGGACACCCAGUCGCUGAGCACGCAGCUCAGGACACCCAGUCCUCACCGUAUUCUCCUUGGACUAAGGUCACACAGACCUCGUCCAAUCACUCGUGGUAAGUCUUCAGGCGACUUCCAAACCUUCACAGACUUGGUCACUCGGCGAUCCACAAUUCCUAUUGGAUGCUCUAGACCUUGACGCCUAACCGUCUGGAAGAAGCACAAUCUUCAAAGGUAACAAGCAUCGGAUCCACGCAGGAUCAAUUUCUUCAGUGAUGCUCAAUCACUUUGGGUUUGUAGGGGUUUGGUUUUGGGUUUUCCUCACUCGAUGAUUUUCGCUCAAAGUCCUCGGAGGAUGGGUUGCUCUCAAAUGACAAGUGUCAAGUUCUCUCGGAGCAGCCAACCAGCUAGUGGUUGUAGGGGGCGGCUAUUUAUAGCCUAGGGAGUAGCCCGACAUGAUAAGACAUAAAUGCCCCUCAAUGAUAUGACUGUUAGGUGAAUAAGAUAUUUUGGGACAGCUGGCGCGCAGCACAGCAACGGUCGGAAUUUUGACUUUCAAAUUCCUCAGGGCUAUCAUGUUCCUCACUGUGUAGGUAAUUCGCACUGACGAAUUCCUAACUCCUCAGUCAGAACAAAUUCAUCAGCGACCAGAAGAACUUCAUCUCUGUCACUGAAGAAAGUGACUGAACUGUAUGAGAUUUCCAAAGGCUUCACUUGAAGGGAUUGGUAGGUGUAGGAUUUUGAGUUGAGCAUCACAUGGAAAUUUUUCCUUAGUAUUUCCUCGACCCCCUUUAACAGUACGGUGUUUCCUAUGACUCAAGAAAGAGAAAAUGAAACUACGAAAACAAAAGUCUUCACGCUUCAUGUUCCACAAAUGAAUACCAAGUCUUCAAGGUCACACCAAUUUCUUCACUUUCAAAGUCUUCAGAAAGUCUUCAGAAUAUCAAAGUCUGCAGUUGAAGAACUUCAUUUUUAGGGGUCGACUUUCUCUGUAAAUAUCAAACUCCUCAUAGACUUAUAGACCUGUGUAUACUCACAAACGCAUUAGUCCCUUAACCUAUAAGUCUUCAAUACACCAAAAUCACUAAGGGGCACUAGAUGCACUUACAAUCUCCCCCUUUUUGGUGAUUGAUGACAACAUAGGUUAAGUUUUCAACGGGGAUAAACAUAUGAGGUGUAUACACUAAUAUUGAGGAAUUUGAUUACAAGAUAUAGUAGAACUCCCCCUGAAGAUGUGCAUAGUGAGGAAUUUGCUUUUGAGGCAAUGCACAUUUGAAGAGUUGAAUCAUGGAGAUCUCCCCCUAUAUCUUGUAAUUCAUACACACAUUUGAUAUAUAAUAUGAAGAAUUUGAAAUGCAUGAUGAAAUAUGGUGCCCGAUGAGAUUCAGCAUGCGUGCAAUGUCAUUAACGAGGAAUAAGCAUGCAAAGCAUAAUGCAACAAAAGUAUCAGCGCACCAUCGGGUUUAAGAUUACAACUCGAUCCAAAUAAAAGUUUCAGAAGAACGAGAGUUGUAACUUAAAAAAUGCCCUUAAUAUAGACCCGUUUGAAGACUAACUCAGAUUUCUCCCCCUUUGUCAUCAAAUGACCAAAAGGAUUGAAACUGAGGACUAACGCCCCUAAAGAAUUUCAAUUCGAUGGAGGAGCGCCAGCGUUGUCGGGGUUGUUUGUUGUAGCAGGGCCUGCUGCAGUGUCGUCCAAAUCUUCAUACUCAUCAGUGUCACGCGAUGAAGAAUAAGAGCUGGCCACCAGUGGAGGAAUUUUCACCCUCUUGAAUUUCUUCGGAGGAGGUGCAGACCAGUCAAAUUCUUCCUUGAGACCCAUAGUCUUCAGUUCUUCAGCGCUAUAGACAUGAGUGAGGACAGCCCAGGUGCGGUUAAAGGUUUCAUGAAGGUAGUAUUGGUUCUUCUUCACUGCAUUGUGUGUUGAGGUCAUAUUGUGAAGAAGUGCACCAAACUGACGCUUUACCCAUUUGUGAUUGCGAUCAACCUUCUGAUGAAGACUGAGGAGUAACUCACGGUCAGUCAUCACCCUGGGUGCUGUGGCUUGAGGAUUUUGCUUGGCUGAGGUAUUUGCGGCAGAGUCAUGUGUGGCAGAAUCGUCAUUGGUAGAGUAAGAUGCAGCCUUGCGAAAUUGACCAUCCAAUGAACGGAUGCCUUCAUCGAUCACAGCAGCGGCCUUGCCUUUAUCAUCAGCUGAUGAAACUGUCCGUUUGAGGACUUCAAUGGGAGGCAAGUAGCUACCGUGGUUCAGAGUGUCAGCUUUGUAAUUCAGUGAAGAUCUUGCCCUGAUGAAUCUCAUAAUCCAAGGAGCAUAGGGCUUCAGCUCGAAUGGUGACAUAGCAAUAUUGGCCAGAGUCCUCAUGAAGAAAUCAUGGAAGUUGACGGGAACGCCAUGAAUGAUGUUGAAAAGCAUAUUCUUCAUGAUGCCAAUGACUUCUUCAUCAUUUGAGUCGUGGCCUUUGAUGGGACUCAUUGUCUUCGUCAGAAUUCGAUAGACAGUCCGAGGCACAUAGAGUAAUUCCUUGACGAGGAAUUUGGUUCGUGGGGCCUGCCUUGGCUUCAAAGGCUUCAUCCGCACUUGCAUAUAGUGAUUUGAAAGUUCUGGUUCGUUGUAGAUACAACGAGCACCAUCAAGUGGAGGACUGAGUGGUAGAGCACGAAGCAAUUCAGUUGCUGGUGCCUUGUAGUGAGUAUUUUUAGACAUCCAGUCUAAUACCCAUGAGUUCACGUCUUCAGCGUCUCCGGUGAUGUGCAGAGUUGCAUAGAAUUGAAGAAUGAGUUCUUCAUUCCAGUCACAGAUAUCAGUGCAGAAAUUCAGAAGUCAUGCAUCGUGAAGAACACUGAGGACUGGCUCAAAGCCGGGCAGAGACUCCAUGUCCACAUGAGGAAUAUGUGCAUGAUCGAAGACUUUGUCUUUGUUCAAGAGCACUAAGGAAUAGAAAUUGGCUUGACUGGCAGUCCAGAAACACCUCUUCCUUAUGCGAGCAGAAUCAUAUGGAUUAUAAUCAGUGAAGAAUACGUGCUCGGCAAAGAAAUCUUCAGCCUUGAACUUCUAUUUGCUUGAGAACGGAUUCUUUGGCUUUGGCAGAGGGGUGUCAGUGAGUUGCAUCACCACCUCAGGAAUCACGAGUUCAGGUUCUUCAGGCUGAGGAAUUUCUUGUUCCUCAACAGGUGCAGUCUGAGGAUUAGCAGUAGCAGGUUCAUCAGCACUAGUGGCUGGAAUUUCUUCAUGGACAGAUGAAGUGGGAUGAGUUUCUUCAGAGCCCAUUCGAACAGUUGGAGCAGGGGACUGAGGUAUCUGUUGGAUUGGGGUGAAGAGUGGAGAAUUUGGAUGCUGACUUUCCCAAAAGUCAUCGUUCAUCACUGCCAUUGUGCUUCCAAUAUCCACAUCUUCUUCAAGUUCCUCAACAUCGGCCUCUUCAGCUGUGAGGUGAGGCAUAGGCGAGGAAAUGAUUGGGGUUGAAGGGAUUGCUUCCACUUCAAUUUCUUCAUCAAUCUGCUCUGACGAAGCAGCAGAAUGAUUUUCUUCAUCAGAUCCGCUUGGGAUCUCAUAGUCUUCUCCAAAAGGAACAAGGUCCUUUGAUGGCAUGGAGGAAAUCGGAACAGCAUCAAUUGGAUUUUCGAGUGAGCUGGUCAUUGGCUUCAUUUUCUUCGCAGCCAAAGAGUUUGACGCAGUUGAUGCCUUCCUUUUCUUUACUGCAGCUUGCUCUGCAGCCUUGGUCUUCUUCACAUCAGAAGCAGAUGGAAGAAUUGGAGUUGGUGUGGGCGUGGGAGGAGCUGAGGAAUCUGGUUCAUUUUCUUUAGGCGCAACUGAUGCUGUUGCUCCGAUCUCUUCAGUUUCUUCAGGCGCACCACUAGUGGAUGCCCUGGCAAUUUCUUCAGCGGCUGGAAUUUCUUCACCAGCCCUGGAACGAGCAUGUUCUUCAGCAGGCUGAAAGUCAUCAGCGGUGCUGGCAUGUUCUUCAGCAGGCUGAGCAGAGUCUGCAGCCUGAAGAUUUUCUUGUUGCGAUGGGGCUACAACAUUUGUGAAUUUCUUCGUCAGAUUGACGAAUCUUACUUUAGCUCCUUGCCAAUCAGCAUAGUAGGCAUCAAAGUCAUUGCUGAGGGCUUGAAUUUCAGACUGAGCCUGGAGAAGUUCCUCAGGUGUCAUUCUGACAACGUUUUUCUUCAGGAGCUUCUCCUUUCUGUAUUGAGCUUUCUUGAUCUCUCUUGCCUUUUCAAACUUCCAUUUCUCUUCAGUGAUGAAAUGGGUCAACAUAUGACUUUGUCCAGGGGUCAGAUGAAAAUCAGGCAUUGGGGUGUUUGGAUCCUUGUGCCAGAGAUCAAUAUAAUCGAGGAUUUUUCUCGGAUACAACAGAAGUGGCACAGAUGUGCCUUUGGCUCUAGCGGCCUUCACCUGUUUGUCUCUGAUGAUUUCUGCGAGUUCAUCAUCAGAAGCUUCAUCAUCAGAAGGCACAUGGAAUGCGACAUGUUUUUUCUUUGGACUUGGCCGAGGACCUCGUCCAGCUGUUGCUUUGGUCUUCAACAGUGUGGGGCCUGAUGAGGAAAUUGGUGCAGCUGAGGAACUUGCUGAAACACCAGAGGCAAUCGAGAAACCAGCAUUCCUUUGACAUGUAGCCAGAUGCACAGGAGCUGAGGACUUUGAAGGAGCUGUUGAGGACUUUGGUGGAGCUGUAGCAGUGUGAGGAAUUUGCCGUGAGGGCACUGUUGGUGAAGCACUUGGCUUACGAGCAGGCUUCUUUGGCAUGGAUUUCCUCGGUUUGACCAAGGCCUCAGUAGCAGUAGUAGUGGCAGAAUCCUCAUUGAAUUUCUUCACUGCCUCCUUGGCUUGUCUUGCCAAUUUAGCUUGGCGCUUAGCCCAUUCUUCAGGAAAGUCAGCACCACGUUUGAUGCUUGUGGGGUCAGCUACUUGGCCAGGUGCCAAUGGAGCUCUUGGGCAUGGAGGAUUGAGGGCGAAUUUCCUCAUGUACUUUGGAGUCACAUAUCUGUAUUCCCUCCAUUCCCUUGCCCAUCUCCGUUCAAUCCUCUGAAUGCACACCUUGCGCUGAUUUUUGUUUUCUUUGCCAAAUUUUGCUUCAUCAGGUGUGCAAUAGUCAGCAUAAAUUUCCUCAGGGAUUUCAAACGCAGUCAUAACCUCAGGUUUCUUUCCUCCUUUCUGUGGCUUCUUACCGUCUGCCAUAUUCUUCAGUUGAGGAAUUUGAACAAUCGAGUUCUCUGAAGAAGUAUGCAGUUUUUCUUCGAGGAACGCUGCAAAUGAGUUAAGUUGAUUAGAACCUAGUGAUUCAGCAGCAGACAUGAGUACCUGUGAACAGAGUACAAGUGCGAGGAAUUCGGAGAGGUCAUAUGCGUUCUGAGGAGGUUUUUCGAAAAGAACAAGUUUUGAGGAAUUUGACCAGAUGAACCUUGAGGAAUUUCACUAAGCGUUCUUGUCUUAGGUUCCAGAGUUGUAUAGAUCGAAGAUCCACACAAUUAGGGAAUCUUGAAGAAAAUGAUUGCUUAGAGAAACAGUUCAAGAUCAUAUGAUGUGUGGUGUUCAUAUGUGUGAAGAUUUGAAGAAUAAACACCUUUGAAGAUUUUCAGGAAAGUUUGAGAAUCAAAGUGAGCAAUAAAAGUAACUUUUAAUUACCCGAAGUGAAGAACACGACGAACUGAGAAGAACAGAUGUGAAGUUCGUCAGGUUAGAUCUCCCACGCCCACUUGGCAGAGGAAGACAGCUACGGCGGCGGCGGAGUGAAGAUUUCCGCGGUCGGCGUGAGUACGAUGACGACGAGGUCGAGGCAGCGAAGCUCUUCCUUACCGGCGAUGAUGGAGUAGCGGUGGCGCUAGGGUUUGAGGAGCUCGAGUGAGAGAGUAGCGAUCGAGCGGAGUAAAUGAAGUGAGGAAGGGGAGAGGGGUAUUUAUAGACAUGGUGAAAAACUGUUCGCCCGAAGAUUUGGGAUGAACGUGCCCCUGCCCUUUCUCCUUCACGCGACAUGUGUCACCCACGUACUGUGUAGUUGAGAUCGUGUACGACCGUGGGUGAAUAGAAUAAUGCAUUGUGGGAUGCGGAACGGUUUGAGCGGCAAAACUGAAAUUUUGGAUAAGAUUUGUUUUAAAGUUUCGUUCGCAAUUCCUUUAGCUGACAAGGACACAGUGAAGAUUUUGAACGAGUUUCAAAUAGAACGCAUAUGAAGAAUUUGUGAAUAGAUUGGGUUGAGUAUAGCAUAGAGGGGGAAGGGUCCGAUCACAUUCACUUAGCAGAAAAAGCAACUUGAAGAAAUAGCUAUAAGUGAAUGCUGUAGAGGACAUAAACGCAUAUAUAUAUAUAUAUAUAUAGCCAAUGAAGAAAAACGAAGGAAACAAUGAAGAUUUUGAAAAGUUGAAGAAUUUGAAAAACCGAAGAAUUUCAAAACUGAGGAAAAACUCAAAUUGAAGAUUUUCAACUUUUUGUGGUGGCGUGACCCACCGUAUAAGAAUGAUGAUUUCAGACACCGCGUACAAUUGUCGUAGGGUUCUGAGAAUCAAAUUCUUCAUUAAUUUCUUCACACUUAGAGUGUUAUUCUUCAUUGAUUGAAGAAAAACGUUUCUUCAUGUGUUGCACAUCUAAGUCAUCAAUUUUGCAUAAGUGUUAGGAUGUGUGUCCUUUUCAAAGAACAUUCGAAGAUUCUAAGAUAUUUAGCUCACACCGCAACUUGCUAAAUCUCUUCUCAUCCAAGGGCUUAGUGAAGAUAUCAGCUAGCUGUUCUUCAGUCUUCACGUGCUCGAUGGAGAUGUCGCCCUUCAACACAUGAUCACGAAGAAAAUGAUGACGAAUCUGAAUGUGCUUUGUCUUCGAGUGCUGAACUGGGUUGUGAGCAAUCUUGAUGGCACUCUCAUUGUCGCAGAGGAGAGGCACAUUCUUCACGUUGACGCCAUAGUCCUUGAGUGUUUGCUUCAUCCAAAGCAGUUUAGUACAGCAAAAGCCAGCAGCAAUGUAUUCAGCUUCUGCAAUGGACAGUGAUACGCAGUUCUGUUUCUUCGAGGACCAACAGACCAAAGAUCGUCCGAGGAAAUGACAAGUGCCAGAAGUUGACUUGCGGUCCACACGAUCACCAGCAUAGUCAGAGUCAGAAUAUCCAAUGAGAUCAAAAGCAGAGCCCUUGGGGUACCAUAAUCCUAGUGUUGGUGUGUGAGCUAGAUAUCGAAGAAUAUGCUUCACAGCCUUAUGGUGUGAUUCCUUCGGUGCAGCUUGAAAUCGGGCACACAUGCAAACACUAAGCAUUAUAUCUGGCCUAGAUGCACAUAAGUACAAUAAAGAACCAAUCAUGGAGCGGUAUACCUUGUGAUCGAAGUCAAUACCAUUUUCAUCAGUGCAUAGAUGGCCAUUUGUGGGCAUAGGAAUUUUGAUGCCUUUGCAAUCUUGCAUGCCGAAUUUCCUCAGUACAUCUUUGAGGUAUUUCUCCUGAGAUAUGAAUAUGCCAUUGCGCUGUUGACGAAUUUGAAGACCUAAGAAGAAUUUCAACUCUCCCAUCAUAGACAUUUGAUAUUCUUCACUCAUCAUAUAGGCAAAUUCAUCACUAUAACGUUGGUCAGUACAGCCAAAGAUAAUAUCAUCAACAUAUAUUUGGCACACAAACAGUUCACCAUCAUAAGAUUUAGUAAAGAGAGUAGGGUCAAGUGAACCGGGUGUGAAGCCAUUCUUCACGAAGAAUUCCUUCAAUGUAUCAUACCACGCCCGAGGGGCUUGCUUGAGGCCAUAGAGGGCCUUAUUAAGUCUGAAGACUUUGUCAGGAUUCUUUGGAUCUUCAAAACGUGCGGGUUGAGCAACAUAUACUUCUUCCUCAAGCUUACCAUUGAGGAAUGCACUUUUCACAUCCAUUUGAUAUAAGAUGAUAUCAUGAUGGUUAGCAUAAGCAAGUAAUAUGCGAAUAGCCUCAAGUCUAGCAACAGGUGCAAAAGUUUCAUCGAAAUCAAUUCCUUCAACCUGUGUGUAGCCUUGAGCUACCAGUCAUGCCUUAUUCCUCACCACAAGGCCAUUUUCAUCUUGCUUGUUGCGGUAGAUCCACUUUGUGCCAAUGAUAUUAUGCUUGCAAGGAUCUGGACGUUUGACCAGUUCCCAGACAUUGUUGAGAUCGAACUGAUGUAAUUCUUCUUGCAUAGCCUGAAUCCACUCCGGCUCCAAAAAUGCUUCAUCUACCUUAGUGGGCUCUGUGAUAGAGACAAAAGCAUAGUGCCCACAAAAGUUAGAUAAACGUGAAGCUUUUGAGCGUGUGAGAGGACCUGGUGCUCUAAUGUCAUCGAUGAUCUUCUCCACUUGCACUUCUUUUGCAACGCGAGGAUGAGCUAGUUGUCGCUAAGGAGUUUGGUCAGCAUUUUAUUCAGCACCAUUUUCCUCAGCAUUUUCUUCAGGUGUAUCAGCUCGAUGUUCUUCAUGAACUGGAAUGAAUUCUUCAGCAAAUUUUUCAGUAGGAAUGACAUCCUCAGUUGCCUUGAACUUGAUAGAAUCCUCAGGUGCUGGUUCAUCUAACACAGAAGGUAGGUGCUCUCUUUGCGAGCCAUUAGUUUCAUCGAACCGCACAUCUACGGUGUCAACAAUCUUGUGAAGAACAAUGUUGAAGACUCUGUAGGUGUGCGAGUCCUUUCCGUAACCAAGCAUAAAACCUUCAUGUGCUUUCGGUGCAAAUUUAGAAUUGUGGUGAGGAUCUCUAAUCCAACAUUUAGCACCGAAGACUUUGAAAUAACUCACAUUGGGUUUCUUGUCAGUGAGGAGUUCAUAGGCCGUCUUCUUGAAGAAUUUGUGAAGAUAUACUCUGUUGAUGAUGUGGCACGCAGUAUCAAUUGCAUCAAUCCAAAAACGAUGAGGCGUUUUGUAUUCAUCAAGCAUAGUGCGAGCCAUCUCAACAAGAGUUCUGUUCUUGCGCUCCACGACGCCAUUUUGCUGAGGAGUAUAGGGAGCAGAUAACUCAUGAGUAAUACCAAGUUCAUCAAGAUAGUCAUCAAGACCGGAAUUCUUGAACUCAGUUCCAUUGUCACUUCUGAUGUGCUUGAUCUUCACACCAAAGUUGGUUGAAGCCCUCGAGGAAAAACGUUUGAAGACUUCCUGCACUUCAUGUUUGUAAGUAACAAUGUGUACCCAUGUAUAUCGAGAGUAAUCAUCAACAAUGACAAAACCAUAUAGAGAUGCAUCAUUAGUGACUGCUGAGUAAUGAUUAGGUCUGAAGAGGUCCAUGUGAAGCAAUUCGAAUGGACGAGUAGUGGUCAUGAUAGUUUUCGCUGGAUGCUUGGCCUUGGUCAUUUUUCCAGCUUCACAGGCUCCGCAUAAGUGAUCCUUGAGGAAUUUGACAUUCUCAAUGCCAAUGACAUGCUUCUUCUUCGCAAGCGUGUGCAAAUUCCUCAUGCCUGCGUGACCAAGUCGUCGAUGCCAUAGCCAGCCUUCUGAAGCUUUUGCAAGUAGACACACGGCUGGUUGUGGUCCUGUAGAGAAAUCAACAAUAUACAAAUCUCCUCUCCUAAAGCCUUCGAAGACUUUGGAAUUGUCAGCUUCCAUAAUCACAACACAGCGAUACUUGCCAAAGACAACAACCAUAUCAAGAUCACAAAGCAUUGAGACUGACAUGAGGUUGUAUCCUAAGGACUCAACAAGCAUGACUUUGUCCAUGUGUUUAUCCUUAGAGAUCGCAACCUUACCAAGACCCAAUACCUGACUUUUGCCUUUGCCAGCAAAGAUGAUGUGCUUUAGAUGUGACGGUGAUAAGGGAGCAUCCAUCAAAAGAUUCUUGUCACCAGUCAUGUGAUUUGUACAUCCACUAUCGAGGACCCAUUCAGUGGUUUUGGGUUGAUCAUCCUGCAGAUGAAUUAGUGUAACUUACAAUCUCAUAUGCUUCAUCAAUGAAGAAUAUGAUAUCAAGUUCAUCAGAUGAAUUUCAUCAAGCAGUAAACAGAUAUAGCAGUAGGAGGACGUGUGAAAGUUUAUUUCAUCAUGAUUCGCCUGCGUCCUUUCAGGCAAUUUUGUCAGGUCCCCAGCAAAUUCUUCAGACAUUAAGGCACAUCUGGAGACCUGACCCUGCAGAAGAGAUUAGCUCUUUUUCUUCACCACCCACAUCUGAAGGGGUGGCAAAGAGUUCAUCACUCUGCGAGCACCAUACGAGAAUGGUGGCAUAGAAGCCAAACCAUUUCAUUUCACAUAAGAGGGGUUAGGGUAAGCAUAUGAAUAAGCAGAGAAAUUCUUCGAGGACUUAUGAACAUAAUGGUUUGAAGAAUAAUGCACAUAUUCAUAGCCCUUAGCUCUACCCUGCGAAACAGAGUUGUUAGCACGAUGAUAAUCAUAUGAGGACUUUGAUCCAUUUGAGGAAUUUGAUCCAUAUGAAGAAUUUGAUCUGGGGUUCCUGUUCUUCACUGGUGGUGUCAUGAGGACAUUCACCUGAAGACUUUCAAGGCACUUCUUGGGAACCCAGAUUUUCUUCAUAGGAGAACCGUUCCUGCAGUUAGUGCCAACAUAUCUAGCAAAUACUUCACCAUUCUGAUUUUUGAACAGUUUAUAGUUGGAGUCAAAUGACUCAUCAGAAGGAUGAGGAGAUUCACAUGUAAAGCCAGAUAAGUUAGAUGGAUCAACUGGAGGUCCCUUUGCAGCAACCCAUGAGGUUUUGGGGUACUGCUCAGGCUUUCAAUAUGUUCCAUCAGCAUUAAGUUUCCUCUCAAAGGCGAUACCCUCUUUCCUAGGGUUUCUGUUGAGGAUCUACUUUUUAAGCACAUCACAAAGAGUCGGAUGCCCUUUGAGGCUUUUGUACAUGCCUGUCAUGUAAAAUUCCUUCAGCCCUGCAUCGUUAGUGAUACUAGCAAUGUCCUCAGAUGAGGAAUUAGUGAUAGCAGAGGCAGGUGAAGAAUUUGUAAUAGUUGAAGCAUUUGAACAUUCAGGUGAAGAAUUAGCAGAUUCACGUUCAAUGCACUUUAAGCAUGGAGGAACAAAUUCUUCCUGAGAAGCGCUGAUUUGUUGAGCUAGUAAUGAAUCGCGCUCCUUCUGAAGAUCUUCAUAACUCACUCUUAGCUUCUCAAGAUCUUGCUUUCUUUGAAGAAAUUCAUAAGAAAGUUUCUCAUGAUCAGAUAAGAGAGUGUUAUGAUGACUUUGAAGGUUAUCAAACCUAGACUGAAGUCUCUGAAGAUUUUCAGUCAGGGCUUUAGUGCGAUCCAUUUCUUCACCCAACAUAUCAUCACUUUUGUCUAGCAUGUUUUGAACCUUUUCAAAAGCCCUUUGUUGUUUUACAGCAAUCUUAGCAAGUUUAGAGUAGCUGGGCUUGAGAUCCUCAUCAGAUUCAUUUUCACUAGAUUCAGAGGAGGUGUAUUUGAGUACCUUUGCACCUUUUGCCAUGAAGCAAUAGGUGGGAGCGUAGUCAUCAUUAUCUUCAUUAGGUUUGUCGGUGGGGUCAGUUUCUUCAAUGUUGAAGAUGGACUUGCUAACGAAAGCAGUAGCGAAGGCCAGACUCGCCACACCAGAUUCGGAUUCUUCAGACGCCUCCUCUUCCUCAUGUUCCUCAGAUUCAGCUUUAGAGUCCAUUUCCUUGCCAAUGAAUGCCCGAGCCUUCUUGGAGCUGCUCUUCUUGUGAGAUGAAGACUUCGAGGAUUUUGAUGACAAAGAUUUUGACGAUUUCUUCUUCUUCUUCGCAUCAUCAGAACUGUAAUCCUUGUAUUUCUUCUUCUUCAAUUCCUUUUCCCACUGAGGACAAUCUUGAAUAUAAUGACUAGGUUUCUUGCAUUUCUGGCACAGCCUUCUCUUAUAGUCACUUGAUGAGGAAUCACUGCUUCUUGAGGAUUUUCCAAAGCGACCACGUCUUGAGAACUUCUGGAAUUUCUUCACGAGCAGUGCUAGCUCCUGGCUCAAUUCUUCAGGAUCACCAAGGCUACUACCAGAAUCCUCACAUUCAGACUCAGACACAACCUUGGCCUUCAGGGCACGUGGUUUGCCAUAGCUCGAACCAUAGAGAUCUCUCUUUUCAGCAAGCUGGAACUCGUGAGUAUUUAGCCUUUCGAGGAUAUCGGCAGGAUCAAGAGACUUGUAGUCAGCCCGUUCUUGUAUCAUCAGACCCAGAGUAUCAAAUGAGGAAUCAAGUGAUCUCAACAGUUUCUUCACCACCUCAUGGUCAGUGAUGUCAGUGGCACCGAGGGCUUGAAGCUCAUUUGAGAUGUCAGUGAGGCGAUCAAAGGUUUGUUGGACAUUUUCAUUGUCGAGUCUUUUGAAGCAAUUGAAAAGAUUCCGAAGAACAUCAACUCGAGAGUCACGCUGAGUUGAGACUCCUUCAUUCACGUUGGACAGCCUAUCCCAGAUAAGCUUAGCAGUUUCCAAAGCACUCACUCUUCCAUAUUGUCCUUUACUCAGAUGGCCACAUAUGAUAUUCUUUGCUUGAGAAUCGAGUUGCUUGAAUCUCUUCACAUCGGUAGCGUUCAGUGAGGGUGAGACAGAGGGAACACCAUUUUCCACAACAUACCAGAGAUCGUUGUCAAUUGCCUCGAGAUGCAUUCACAUCUUGUUUUUCCAGUAGGGGUAGUCCGUCCCAUCAAAGGUAGGACACCCAGCCGAGACCUUGAUCAUACCUGCGGUCGACAUAACUAAAACUCCAGGUGGUUAAACCAAAAUCACACAGAACAAGGGAGCACCUUGCUCUGAUACCAAUUGAAAGUGCGUUAUGUCGACUAGAGGGGGGGUGAAUAGGCGAUUUUUAUGAAUUCUUCACUGAGGAAUUUGCCGGUGAGGAAAUUCCUUAGCGAAGAACUAUUAGCAGCGGAAUAAGUACUCAGAAGUAAGCAUAACAGAAUACAAGCAUGGUCAUCAUGAUGAAAUGAAGACUAGCACAGAGUAUAGAAAGCGUAAUCACAGGAUAACACAAGAUGAAGACAAACAGACUGAAGAAAUUGAACUGAGGAAACUCUUCAGUCAAAGUCUUCAAACACAGAUAUGAACAAACACUCAACACAGUAAUGAGGAAAUGAAAGGGUUGAGGAAAUAAAACCAGUUAGGUUGGUGAAGACAAUGAUUUGGUAGACCAGUUCCAACUGCUGUCUCAGUUGUACGUCUGGUUGGAGCGGCUGAGUAUUUAAACUCGAGGACACACAGUCCCGGACACCCAGUCGCUGAGCACGCAGCUCAGGACACCCAGUCCUCACCGUAUUCUCCUUGAACUAAGGUCACACAGACCUCGUCCAAUCACUCGUGGUAAGUCUUCAGGCGACUUCCAAACCUUCACAGACUUGGUCACUCGGCGAUCCACAAUUCCUAUUGGAUGCUCUAGACCUUGACGCCUAACCGUCUGGAAGAAGCACAGUCUUCAAAGGUAACAAGCGUCGGAUCCACGCAGGAUCAAUUUCUUCAGUGAUGCUCAAUCACUUUGGGUUUGUAGGGGUUUGGUUUUGGGUUUUCCUCACUCGAUGAUUUUCGCUCAAAGUCCUCGGAGGAUGGGUUGCUCUCAAAUGACAAGUGUCAAGUUCUCUCGGAGCAGCCAACCAGCUAGUGGUUGUAGGGGGCGGCUAUUUAUAGCCUAGGGAGCAGCCCGACAUGAUAAGACAUAAAUGCCCCUCAAUGAUAUGACCGUUAGGUGGAUAAGAUAUUUUGGGACAGCUGGCGCGCAGCACAGCAACGGUUGAAAAUUUGACUCUCAAAUUCCUCAGGGCUAUCAUGUUCCUCACUGUGUAGGUAAUUCGCACUAACGAAUUCCUAACUCCUCAGUCAGAACAAAUUCAUCAGCGACCAGAAGAACUUCGUCUCUGUCACUGAAGAAAGUGACUGAACUGUAUGAGAUUUCCAAAGGCUUCACUCGAAGGGAUUGGUAGGUGUAGGAUUUUGAGUUGAGCAUCACAUGGAAAUUUUUCCUUAGUAUUUCCUCGACCCCCUUUAACAGUACGGUGUUUCCUAUGACUCAAGAAAGAUAAAAUGAAACUACGAAAACAAAAGUCUUCACGCUUCAUGUUCCACAAAUGAAUACCAAGUCUUCAAGGUCACACCAAUUUCUUCACUUUCAAAGUCUUCAGAAAGUCUUCAGAAUAUCAAAGUCUGCAGUUGAAGAACUUCAUUUUUAGGGGUCGACUUUCUCUGUAAAUAUCAAACUCCUCAUAGACUUAUAGACCUGUGUAUACUCACAAACGCAUUAGUCCCUUAACCUAUAAGUCUUCAAUACACCAAAAUCACUAAGGGGCACUAGAUGCACUUACAGUGAAAGUGUUGGACGUCCGGAGGGUUCCGGACAUCCGUAAAAAUGUUUCUAUUGUGGAAGUGUCGGAUGUCCGGAAGUGUCUGGACGUCCGGGCAAUCAGGAAGGACCGGACGUCCGUAGAACACCGGACGUCCGAAGGUAAGGUAGCAACUUUGAGCAAGUUUUUCACAGAUCCAUUGAUCCCCUCUUAAUAGUGCGGGAUCCCUAUACUCAAGAACAAACCAUAAAUGAAGUCAACAUCUUGUAUCUCCAUUCUUGAGUUAUAUGCUUUUGUCCCUAGUCAUGAUCCAUGCACACAGUCUUUGGAACAUAGUCCUGAGAUAUACUUGAUAAACAUGAUUAGUCCCGAGCAUAUGUGUUGUCAUCAACAUCAAAAUAUAAUUAAGGGCAUGAUUGCACUUUCAAUCUCCCCCUUUUUGGUAGUUGAUGACAACUCAUAUGCAUACUCAUAAUAGUAAUCGGAAGUAUUUGUUGUGGAGCUCAAUAACCAUAAUAAGAAUAAGUAGCGAGCGAGCUCCCCCUCAAAGUGAUACCACAGAUACUACUAAAAACAAAAAUGAAUGAGGGCUCCCCCUCAAACUGAUGCCACAAUAGUUGGAUCACUUCAUAUAGAUUCACCAAAUCUCAGAUUCAACAAACUCAUAACCAACAAACUCAUAACAUAGUUCAACAACUCAUAACAUAGUUCAACAAACUACUCCUAACAUAGGUUCGAUUACAUAAUGAGCUAGAGUAAUGCAUAUGGAGCCUACUCCCCCUUUGGCAUCAAGUAUCCAAAAAAAGAACUAGGGGGAAUGACAUGACAGUAUUAAAGAUCAUCCUCAUCAUCAUCAUCAUGAACACCACUGCCACCAGCCUCGUCAAAGAAAUCAGCCCACUCAGGACCGGAGGGAAAACCAAAAUCAGAAGGGGGAGCUGCAGGAAGACGCUCAUCGUCACUCACAUCAUAUACGCCUGAGUCUCUCAGACGAGCCUUCAGAGCAUUCUUGGAAGUGACCAUGCGGGUGACCACAUCGUGGUGUUGGGAGCAAUGGAAGGUGAACAUCUUCAUCAUGGCUGAAUGAGACUUCCCAAGAAAACGAGCAAUGCGCCCAAAGGGGGCAUCACUGGAAGGAGGAUGGGUAGCGUGAGAGGGAAAACUAGCGGCGGUGCGACUAGCAGUAGCGGGAGGAGGAGGAACAUGGUCAGCCGCCAUGUGAGGUGGGAUGACCCAUCUCUCAUGUAUAUGAGUGCGUGCAAUGGGAAAGGGAGCUACACUCUCGAUAAAUGCCUGAAGAAAAGGUGCAUGAGGGAAAGCCCGCUUGUGCUGGAAGCUAGCAAGGCGAAUCUCAUGCCAUAGAAAGUGUGGAACAUUUAUCUUCCCUUUAGGAGAUGUGUAGAGGCGAUGCAUGAGAUCAAUGCAGUAGCUGCUGCAGGAGCCCUUGUCACCCAUCUUGGGAUAAAUGGUGCGGAUGACACACUGAUAAAGAUGUUGAAUGGAAAACGCCAAAGACUUGAUUUAGACCCUUUUGUUUUUCAGUACUAGACAAAGAUGAUAUGGGUCUAAGGAGAUCCGCACAGACCGUAAUGCCUUUGGGCUUAUGGUUGGGGUCAUUGGUGUGGAUUUUGAACCCAGUGUCGGGAAAUCCAAGUGCGGUGACAAACUCAACAUAAGAUGCUGUGAGUGCAGUGUCGGAGGUCAUCCAUGUGACAGUGUUAUCAGGAGCAAAGUAACAUGUGGCAUAAAACUGAUGGAUGGUAGCAUGGUUAAAAUCCUGUUGAAAGGCGAAUGGAGCAGCUAGGUUUGAUGACUCAAUGAGCUCAAUGGCUCCCGGAUAUUUCUCCGGAUGAGUGCGAAUAUGCUCAAGAUCAAUGCAAACAGGAAGUGACAAGCCUUUAGGGAUGACAAUCCUGGUGAAGAUGUCGGCUUGGACAUUCGUGCGAAAACGACUAUCCUGAGAAUCCCUAACAACAGUAAAUUGAUCUACAUCACGACGCAAUUUGAGAUAAGAAGAUUUGGGGACCUCAUUGAAACGUUUAACAUGACGUCCUAGUGAUAGUGAAGGCUCAAUGGAGAUGUGACGGGCAUCACCGUGGGGUGGCACCGAAGGAGGAGGAGGUUGAAAUGUUGAACGACGAGUGCCGGGCUUGGGGGCAGCGACGCGGAUACCAAUCAUCGGGGACGGAUCCACCUCUUCAAGCUCAUCCUCAAAAUCGGACCCCUCCGAAGAGGAAUCACUGGACGAGCUGGGAGGACGAGCGGCACGUUUCCGAGGGCGAUCUUCCUCCUGGGAGUCAUCGGAGCCACCACGACGAGACGGACGAGCCGGCCCUCCGGCGACUUGCUUGCGUGCGGAGUGCUUGGACCGAGGCAUCGUGACCUAGGGGAGAAGGAAAGCACAUGUCAACACCCCUCCAUAGAUCAGGGUGAACCAAGUGGAGAGGGGGUGAAUGCAUGAGGAGGGGAGAGGAGGUUGUGCCCUACCUUGCAAGGAAGAGCACGGAGGAGCCGAGGGGGGGGGUCGACGGACGGGCGGGGAGAGAAGCUCCGAGCAGAACGGCUGGACGGGCCGGACGGCAAGUGGCAGAUCCACGGCGGGGAGAAACCCCGGCGAGGGGUACGGCGGUGGGCGGCUGCGGGGAGAGGAUGCACAACAGGAGCGGCGGCGGCGAACCGAGUGGAGAGUAUGGGGUUGGUUGACCAAAACCCUACGGCGCAGUAUAUAUAGACCCCAGUAAAAACGUACGGACGUCCGGAGCCUACGGACGACCGGAGUCAUAUAUGCGUCCGGACGUCCGGGAACGGACGGACGACCGGAGUCAGGACCAUCAGCAAAGAGAGGAUAACAGAGAUGAUUUUACGGACGUCCGACAGCGUCGGACGACCGGGCAUAUUGUAACAGAACGGUUUUUACGGACGUCCGGAGUCUUCCGGACGUCCGGAGCUUCAUUUGCUAGGCCAACUAAGUGAACCAGAGUGGAUUUUAAAGACGUCCGGCGAGGCCGGAGGACCGGUCGAAGGUAACCAGAGCAGAAUAUACGGACGUCCAGAUGCUUACGGACGUCCGGCAGUGAAAUACCACACGGACGUCCGGAACCUACGGACGUCCGACGCCAGAAGUUUGGACAGGAGGGCUGAUCAUGAUGAUGAGAAAGGCAUUUUCUCACAGUAAACCUUAUCUAUUGUAGUAACUCAGAUCCUAUCUUACUCAAUCAUAGCCAUAGACUACAAGUGGUGGCUAAUGCCACCAUGUCUGAGUAGACAUGACAUGACACAGAAAGACUUGAACUUUAAGUGCAUAGUCACUACUCCAUCAUGUUAAAGCACCAUAGGUCUAGACCCAUGGAUACUUUGAGAGUGUUGGUUCUUUUUAUGCAUUGAGUAGGGCUAGAACAUUCAUGAAUUGAAUGUCUCCCCCUAAGUAUAUGCCUACAUCAUGACAAGACAUUAGAUUCAUGCAUGAAUGGGUACUAGAUUUCACAUAAUGUUGUCAAGCUCCAAGAUACCAAGUUCACGCCUAAGUCGACAGAACCUUGCUUCAUCUAGAGGUUUGGUGAAGAUAUCUGCUAGUUGAAAAUCUGUACCAAUGUGAUCAAUGUGAAUAUCACCCUUUUCAACAUGAUCUCUCAAGAAAUGAUACCUAAUAUCAAUGUGUUUGGUGCGGAGAUGAUCUUUGGGGUUCCCAGCAAUAUUGAUGUCACUUUCAUUAUCACACAGAAGAGGCACAUUUCUAUAGGUGAUACCGUAAUCCUUCAAAGUUUGCCUCAUCCAUAACAACUGAGUUGCACAACUAGCGGCAGCAAUGUAUUCAGCUUCUGCGGUAGAGAGAGCAAUACAAUUUUGUUUCUUCGAGGACCAACUCACCAAGGAUUGUCCAAGAAACUGACAUGCACCGGAUGUGGACUUACGAUCCACUUUGUCUCCAGCCCAAUCCGCAUCCGUUUACCCAAUGAGAUCAAACUUAGCAUCCUUGGGGUACAUGAGGCCCAACUUUGGGGUGUGAACAAGGUAUCUAAGAAUAUGCUUAACCGCCUUAUCAUGACUUUCCUUAGGGAAAGCUUGAAAUCUAGCACACAUGCAUACACUGAACAUGAUGUCUGGUCUAGAUGCACAAAGAUAAAGCAAUGAACCAAUCAUAGAGCGGUAAGUAGAUGGGUCGAAAGGAGUACCAUUUGUGUCUUCAGUGAGAGUGAUUUUGGUUGGCAUGGGUGUCUUGCAUGGACUAGCGUCAGACAUACCAAACUUUUCUAGAAUAUCCUUGAGGUACUUUGCUUGAGAUACGAAAAUUCCUUCUUGAAAUUGUUGAAUUUGAAAUCCGAGAAAGAACUUCAAAUCCGUAUUGAGUGACAUUUCAAAAUUCUUGGUCAUUGAAUCCACAAACUUCUUGCACAAAUGAAUGUUAGGAGAACCAAAAAUAAUGUCAUCUACAUAGAUUUGGCAUAGAAUCAAAUCACCCUUGUCCCUCUUAGUAAAAAGAGUGGGAUCGAUCACCUCUCUCACAAAACCAUCAUCGAGUAAAAACUUCUUCAAAUGAUCAUACCAAGCACGAGGUGCUUGUUUGAGGCCAUACAAAGCCUUAUGAAGUUUAUACACAUAGUCUUUGUGAAAGGGGUCAACGAACCCGGGUGGUUGUGACACAUAUACUUCUUCUUGUAGAGGACCGUUAAGGAAAGCACUCUUCACAUCCAUUUGAUGUAAUGUAAAACCAUUGAAAGCGGCAUAAGCAAGUAAAAUGUGAAUGGAUUCAAGACGGGCAAUGGGGGCAAAGGUCUCACCAAAGUCCAAACCUUCAACUUGUGAGUACCCUUGUGCCACUAACCUUGCCUUGUUUCGGAUGAUGACACCAUUUUCAUCUUGCUUGUUCUUGAAAAUCCAUUUUGUUCCAAUGACAUUGCGCUCGGUGGACGGCCUCUUUACUAGUGACCAUACUUGGUUGCGUUCAAAACUGUUCAACUCUUCUUGCAUAGCAACAAGCCAAUCGUUGUCCAUCAAUGCCUCUUGUACCUUGAGUGGUUCAAUACUAGACACAAACGAGAAGUGAGCACAAAAGUUUGUCAAAUGUUUACGAGUGACUCUACCUUCCGAGAUGCCGGUGAGGAUUUUGUCAACAUCAACACGACCGGCCACUCGAGGCAUGAUGGAGGUGAGGGUUUCACGAGGUUCAACUUCAUGUCCAUCAUCCACAUCUUCAACAUAUGGAUCAUUCACAUGUGGAGGAAGGUCUUCUUGUUCAUGUUGCAGUUGUUGAGGUUCGUCAUCCAUGAUUGGACUUUCUUGUUCUUGCUCUUGAUGAUGAUCUUGUUCUUGAUGGUUAUCAUUGAGUGAGACUUGAUCAGCCUCAUCAACAUGAGCUAAGGGUAUAGGUUGAACAAUAGGAACUUGUGUUGGUAUGGAUGUUGAAGUAGUUUGAUGAUGCGUGAGAUCUCCAUCUUCUUCGUCAUCAUCAUGAGGUUCUUGUUCCAUAGGAAGAAGUGCACCAACACCCAUCUUCAAAAUGUCUUGAGAAGAAUCUUCUUCACCUACAUCACUUAGAUCAACUUGCUCCCCAUGGGAGCCAUUAAAUUCAUCAAACACCAUGUCACAAGUUUCUACAACACAUCCAUUGGAUUUGUUGUAGACUCUAUAGGCGUGAGAGUUUGAUCCAUAACCAACAAAUAUACCCUCAAUUGUUUUGGAUUGAAAUUUUCCUAACCGUUCUCUUUUGUUGAGAAUGAAACAUUUGCACCCAAAUACACAAAAGUACUUGACAUUUGGCUUGUUUCCAGUUAGAAGCUCAUACGGAGUCUUUUCCAAUAUAGUGCGGAGGAAGAGUCGGUUUGAUGCAUGGCAUGCGGUAUUGACAGCUUCAGCCCAAAAACUAUGUGGUGACUUGUAUUCAUCCAACAUGGACCUUCCAAUUCUACAAGUGUACGGUUCUUCCGUUCGGCUACACCAUUUUGCUGAGGAGUGUAUGGAGCUGAAUAUUGAUGCUCAAUCCCUUCAUCACUAAGAAAUUCUUCCAAGGUGUAGUUCUUGAACUCAGAGCCAUUGUCACUCCUUAUUGCUCGGAUUUCUCUGUCAAACUUGCGUUGAGCUUGCUUGGUAAAAUCAAUGAAAGUGAUCUUCGUUUCGUCCUUGGACUUGAGGAAGAACACCCAUGUAUAUCUUGAGUAAUCAUCAACAAUGACAAGCCCAUACUUUUUCCCACGAAGACUAUCCCAUGAAGGAGGCCUGAAAAGAUCCACAUGAAGGAGCUCCAGGGGCCUUGAGGUAGAUACUAUGUUCUUGGGUGGGUGCUUUGAUUGAUGUUGCUUCCCGGCUAUGCAUGCACUGCACACACGAUCUUUCUCAAAAGAGACAUUGGUUAGUCCAAGGAUGUGAUUUCCCUUUAAGAGAUCUUGAAGAUUUCUCAUGCCGACAUGGGCUAGCCGGCGAUGCCAUAGCCACCCCUUGUCGGCCUUGGCCAUUAGACAAGUUGCAUGGAAUGUGCUCUCUUUCGAGAAAUCAACCGUGUAAAGGUUGCCAUCCAACUCUCCAACAAAGGCCACUUCAAGAGUAUCUCUCUUAAAGACUUUCACAUCCGUUAGUCCAAAGAGUGUAUCAUAACCAAUAGAAGCCAAUUGGCGAACAGAAAGCAAAUGAUAUUUAAGGGAUUGGACAAGCAUAACAUUUGCAAGAGACAUGUCAUUGGUGAUAGCCACCUUGCCCAACCCGAGUACCUGUCCUUUUGAACCUCCACCAAACAUAAUGCUCAUGAAUGGUUGAAUGGCUUCCAUGAAAUCGUAGAGCAAUUUGAUAUCUCCGGUCAUAUGAUUUGUACAUCCACUAUCAAUCACCCAUUUCACUCCACCGGAGAAGCUUACCUACACACAAUUAGGACUUGGUUAGAGGCACCCAUUUUGCAAUGGGACCUCUCAAGUUAGUUACAAGGGUCUUAGGGACCCAAAUAGCAUAGAAACGGAAUGCAUUUCGAGGACCAACAAAUUUUGCAAAUACUUCUCCAUCCUUAGUCUUCCGAAGUACAUAGGAGGGAGGCAUGAACUCUUUAGGCUUGUUGAGAGUGGGCCGGCCCCUUGUGGCCUUCCCACUCACAACCUUACCUUUCUCCUUGUGACCUUCUCUUACAAAAGUUUCGUUCAGAGGAGUUGUGCACUUUUGGGAGGAUGCCUUCUUCUUACUUGUGCUAGGGUCAAACCCAAGCCCCUCUUUGGCAAACACCUCAUUGUGUUGACUCAAAAUCUCAUCAAGAUUCUUUUGCCCUUGAGCACAUGUCAUGAGACCUUUCUCAAUUUGAGCCUUGAGAAAACGAUUUUCCUCAAGAAUAGAUGCUAGAUCACUACUAGAGUUAGUAGCACAAGCAUCAACAUUUAUAAUAGGGGAAGAGUAAGCCUUUGCUAAAGUUUCAAGAUAAGUAAGUUUGAGCGUCUCAAAACUCUUUCUAAGAACGGUAAGCUCUCCUUCCUUCGUCUUGAGGGACACGGAUAGAAGCUCACAAUCCUUAGAUAGAGAAGCAUGAGACUUCGCAAGCUUGCUUUUAUCAUUAAUUAACUCUUCACAAGAGUAAAUAGCCUUUUUCAAGGAGGCAAGAUCAUUAGUGUGAAUAUCAAUGUUUGCACCAAUUUUUAAGCAUAGUUCAUCAUUUCGUGCUUCCUCAUAUUGGACUUUCCGCUCAAGGAUUUCACACUUUUCCUUUUCCUCGGUGACGAGGGUUUCGAGUUCCUUAAUGGUGAUGGUGUGCUUACUCACCAUCUCCAUAAGCAUACGAAACAUAGUGAGUUUCUUUCCUUUGAGGGAGCACAUGAACUUAUCAAGUUUAGCAAUCAUAGGAUCAUCUAGAUCAUCAUCCUCAUAGCUAUCCUCCGCAUCAAGGUACUCAUCACUAGGAGUAGAAGGUGUGAAAAGAGGAGGAUUUGGUCGUGGAGUUACCUUGACCUUGUCAGAAGAGCUUUGGUCCUCUCCUUCUUCAACCAUGGCCUUUGCCAUUAGGCACUUGUGAGCGUUGCCCUUGUAAUCUUUCAUGUAGUUGCAGGUGACCACGUCACCACUCUUGUUUACUAACCUCAACGUGUUUUGAGAGUCUUGAGCAACUCCGGCAACACCACUAACAUCAUCCGGAUCAGAUUCUUCUUGAGCAACCAUUGCCAUUCCAUCUCUCUUCUUGAGCUUGGAGUUCAAAGGAUUUGGCAACUUCUUCUUGGGAAAGGUCUUGGGAAACCUUGGUUUAUCUUCUCUCUUCUCAUAAGGGCACUCGUUGGAGAAGUGACUGGUUUCUUCACAAUUGUAGCAUUUUCUCACUUUCUUCUUUUGAAAUCUUCCCUUGAAUUUUCCGGCGCUAAACUUCUUGACAAAAAGAGCCAUGUAUUCAUACGAAGGGCCCUCGUCGGAGUCAAUCUCAUUACCAUCUUCAUCCUCAUCAUCUUCUUCUUCUUCUUCUUCACUUUGCUCAUCUUCACAUACUUGCUUGGCCUUCAAUGCAAGAUUGAUUUUUGAUGAUGGGGAACCAUGCAUGGCAAGAUGUUUUGUGGCAUUGGCCUUGGACUCUUCAAAUAGUUGGAAGGUGGAUAUGAUGUCAUCUGUAGUCAUUUCCUUGAAGGAAUGGUGUUGUCUUAUGUCCCACACCAUUUGAUGAUGAUAUGGAGCAAGAGCAUGAAGCAACUUAUCCACAAGAAACCUCUUAGUCAUAUUGAAUCCAUCUUGAGUCUUGUCACACUCACAUGACUCAAUAUCCGCAGUGAGAGUCAUGAGACGCUCAAGGAGUUGAUUGGGGGUUUCACCUUUUUCCAUACAGAAAUUUUGCAAUUGCCCCUUGGCAAUUUCAUAUUGAGCACUCCGGAGGGCAGAAGUGCCAGUUCUGGAUCGUAUAAUACUUUCCCAUAGUUCCUUGGCACUUUUGAUGUGAAUGAACGGUCUCCUUUGCUUUUCAUUCAUACCUUUCCUUAUACACAUGAUUGCCGUGUCAUUGAGGUUCUUGUCAUAUAUUUCUCUUGGUGUGGGGUUCUUUGGAUCAACCACAUGAUAGCCAUACUCUAUAAUCUCCAGCAUCUCAUCGUUUCCAUGUCGAAGAUGAUCCUGCAUAGCAACUUUCCACAAUGCAAAAUGGCAGUAGCAGUAAGUAAAGGAGGUUUGCCUUGAGGGUUAUAUCUUGGUUUCUCAACCUGAGGUCUUGCAUAAAGCCAAGGAACACUGGUGUGUUCAUUGCUAGGAGGUUGUUGACCAAGUGAUGAAGUAGGCACAGUUGGGCUCGGACUCACACCACUUGAGUGUGGUGCAAGCACCGCGGACAACGUGGCUAAUCUCAGUUGGACCAAGGCCUCAAGAGAAGCAUCAUGCUCCUCUUUUUGCUUAGCAAGGGCCCGUUCUAGAUCCUGAGACGUAAAGGACUUGACUUCAGAAGAAGCCUCGCCUUUAUCCUUAGGAUCUACAACCAGGGGAGUCCCAUCUGGGUUCAUCUCGCUCUAGGGUGGUUAAGCCACAAGAAUAGAGCACGAGGCUCUGAUACCAAUUGAAAGGAUCGAGAUGGACCUAGAGGGGGGGGGGUGAAUAGGUACAAUUACAAAUUUUAAUUACUACUUGACAAUUUUUAGGCAAUAAUGCGGAAUAUGAAGAUGAGCCUAACAAUUGCACGUGAGCACAAAGUACUAAGCAAGUAACACAAACACGUAAGUAGGCAAGCACAAUAUAAUGUAUGCAAGUGUAAAGAGACAAGUAAUCACAAGUAGAGAGUUAAGGUUAGGAAUAACCGCAACUCCGGGAGACGAGGAUGUAAGCCGAUGUUCACUCCCUUGGAGGAGAGCUAGUCACCGUUAGAGGGAUGGAUGUUACCACGAAGGCACACCAACGCCACGAAGGCUCACCCUAUUCUCCCUUUGAGACAACACCACGGAGGCGUUUCUCAACCACUAGUGGUAGACCUUGGGGUGGUCUCCAAACCCUCACAAACUUUUCCGAGGGUAAUCACAAAGGUCGAUUCCUCUCCGGAUGACUCCUACCGCCUAGGAGUCUCCAACCUCCAAGAGUAACAAGAACGAUGGGGAAAUGCUCAAAACUUGCUCAAGUCACGAAUUCCUUUGGUGCAAAGAAGGGGAAGAAGUGGAUCUAUCACUUGAUUGGAGAACUUCUCUCAAAAAGCUCCUAGAACACUUGGAAUCUAGGAUUUAGUGUGGAUGAAUGAGAGAGAGAGUGAGGAGUGUUCUUGUAGGGCUCAAAGUGAAUGGUCAACCCUAUCCCGUGGAAGGGAAGGGAGUAUAUAUAGGUGGUGGGAAAAAGUGACCGUUUGGGGUACAGGAUGGCCGGACGUCCGGAGAACGUCGGACGUCCAGAGGCCCAAACGGGUCCAGACGUCCGACAGUCAUCGGACGACCGGCCGCUGUGAAAAGUGUGAUCCACAAUCCAAUGUACAGGAUACAGACGUCCGAGCUGGGCCGGACAUCCGUAAAAAUGCUUCUGAUGUGAAAGUGUUGGACGUCCGGAGGGUUCCGGACAUCCGUAAAAAUGUUUCUGUUGUGGAAGUGUCGGACGUCUGGAAGUGUCCGGACGUCCAGGCAAUCAGGAAGGACCGGACGUCCGUAGAACACCGGACGUCCGAAGGUAAGGUAGCAACUUUGAGCAAGUUUUUCACAGAUCCAUCGAUCCCCUCUUAAUAGUGCGGGAUCCCUAUACUCAAGAACAAACCAUAAAUGAAGUCAACAUCUUGUAUCUCCAUUCUUGAGUUAUAUGCUUUUGUCCCUAGUCAUGAUCCAUGCACACGGUCUUUGGAACAUAAUCCUGAGAUAUACUUGAUAAACAUGAUUAGUCCCGAGCAUAUGUGCUACAUCAACAUCAAAAUAUGAUUAAGGGCAUGAUUGCACUUUCAAUGGGCCACCUGCCCGAGCUCCCCACCCUGCAUCGAAGAGGCCAACGCCCUAGGCGCCUCAGGAGAGGAGAGCGCUGAGGUCACCUUCCCCGAGCCCCCUCCCGAUGGCACGGGCGCCACUGGCAGCAGAAACGAUGCGACGGGAGAAGAGGUGUCCGAGGCCAUCUUCCCCAGACCCCCUCCCAGCGCAGCGACAGACACGGGCGCCUCGUGUCCCAACAGUCCAACGUCGGCAGAAGAAGGGUAACCCGAGGCCUCCUGCCCCGUGCCCUCAACCGACAGACCAGCCACGUCCUGGGGAGGAACACCGUGGUGAGUACGAGAGGGAGUGGCCACCUGCCGACUCACCUCCCCCACUCCCCAAGCCGGUACCGACGAAUCACCAGGAACCCCCAGACUAGCACAAAGAGCAUCCUCAAAGUCCAAAGCAGGAAACGCAUACUCAGAAGCCUCCUCGGACUCCACCCGAUCGCUCCACAGUCUCGAGGGAGCAGAAGCAGGUUCAAAGGACCCAAAUCUCAAAGUCGUCAUAGGCACCGAGGAAGGUGGAGCCGCUCCUCCCUCAAUCGUCGCGCUCUCGGACCCCGGUCCAUUGGACUGCUGCCGUCCAGAGUCAUCAACCGGUAGAUCCUUAGCCCCCGUGCUACCAUCGCCCUCGUGCAUAUCCACGUCCGACCCAUGAGCGUCCGCCACCAGAAGGCUCUCAUCCUCAAACUCAAUAACCAGACUAUAAAUCCUACCUCGAUAAGCCCAUUUGACAACCUCCGGCACAAAGUCAGUGUUCAGAAUACUAACCAGAACCCGAGCAAUCCCGUGAGCUCUGGUAAAUGCCAUAUCCACCCUCUCAGGCUUUCCCAUCAAAAUACCCAAACUAUCCACAACCCGAGCAUCCUGCAACGGCUAGGAAGGGACUCUGAAGAACCGCAACCACGCCUGAGUAAGCGGCUUGCCCUGAGGCUCUACCUGCUUCCACUCGUGAAACUCAAGGACGCAAUCAGUUCCUGGCACUUUACAGAUCCCAAAACUUAGCAACCUCUGCAGAUCCUCCACCAAAGGAAACUCAACUUUGAACAUCUUAUCAGCGAGGCUGACGAGAUCCCACUGGAAGUCUCCGAGGGCCAACUCCCGAAGCCUCUGCACGAUCUGUGCCUCAGAAACCUCCCCUUUAGUGACCUUAACAAUCCCUGUAGUCAUGGUCGGCGUCUCAUCAGCAACCUCUCUCUCAAUCGGAGACUCAAAAAACGUGAGCUCGACACAGUAAACUCCGUACAUCAUAAGUGACGGCGCCUGAUCUCGCAGCAUCGGGCAGUCCCCAGAGUCGUGUGCUGGUUUACCACAGGUAUCACAAAGAGGAACCACACACUCCGCAAUGAAGUGGCCCUUUUCUCUACAUCUAUAGCAAAGCAUCUUUUCCUUCUUGCGCGCCCAUUUGGACGCCCUGUCAGACUCAGCCCUGUCCGACAUCUCCACUGACACAUCAGCCAUAACCUCGUUCUCAGGAACCUGGACAGUGGCAAAAGCCGUCACCACCUCCAUAGCGUGACCGGUCAACACUGGCUCCUCGGCAGCCCCGCUCUCUGUCGUGUGCUCGACAACAGUGGGAGGGGGCGGUUGUCGUGGACGGAACCGACCCCCUCGACCACCCCGACCACCAUGAUGGCCCCGGAAACCUCCCCGCUGCCGAUUACCCGGACCAGAAGGCCCCUCAAUGAAGCCACCGGACGGACCCAAGAACGGUCUCUCAGCCGAGCCGUCGCUUUGCCAAGCAUACCCACGACCUCCACCCGUGGACGAAGAACCACGGUGCUGGCCAGCCCCAUACGCGUCGUAGCCGUCAUCCCCCCACUGCCCUCGGGAUGCAACCACGGCCCCAACAGCGUUGGACUGCAACGGCGAAAGCGGGCGAGUGACGACGUUGGGAGGAGGGGUCGGUCUGGGUUGCGGACCCGAAGACGCCGGCGGCUUGAGAGGAGCAGUCCCCCGGCCCGCAGCUGCUGCCGCGGCACCGCCGGCAGCCACCGGUCGAGGACCGGCUCCCUGUCCGCCAUGCCCGCCCGAUGGCAAGGACGGGGCCGGCUGCCUCGCAGCUGGAACCCCGCCAACAGAGGGCUGCACCACAGGUCCACCCGACCUGCGGCCCGCCACAGCGUUGGGGAGCUCGACGCGGCCAUGCCCCGCACCUAGCACCUGCGCCGGCUGCGCACCCCGGCCAGUGCCAUGGCUAGGCGGCGGCGCCCCAAUGGCCCGAGAAGCCCCGCCCGGCUGGUGCGGCCGCUUUCCGGGAGGUGGUGCGCCUCCAGGCCCUGCCAUCACUCCGAGAGGAGGAAUACGGCGCACUCAGCCAGGACCCGCAGUACACAAUCGCAGCAAGCGACGGAAAACCCUAGGGUGCGGCGACUGUGUGGACGACGAUGAUCGAUACGUGCAUGCACCCCCCCCUCUGUAACGAUUGGAAUCGAGUCUGGUUGGGCCUCAUACCGACCAUACCUCGGCCCAAGAAUACCAGCCAGCCCAACAACCUCAGGAUCGGCUCGGCCCAGUAACAUGUUCAAACGCUCCUAGCGAGCGAGCCGGAUCGGGAUCGCCGUGACCGCCGGCGAGGCCGCCGCAGUCACCUCCGGCGUCAAUCUACAUCCAUUCCGGCGAGAAUUCUUUCGUCUCUUCACCAAAGUCCAUGAAUCCGACCGAAUCAUAUCGAACAAGGUCAAAUUUGGAAGACGUGCCUUAGGUAAAGGACCCUUUCAGGGCCGAGCCGCCACCGCUGUCGUUCUCCUGUGGACAACCCGGCGAACCAUCUCUGUUGUCUCCCGCGCACUAAGCCCGACUCUCGCCGGAUCGUCAACUGGAAGGAUCUCAUCAAUGGUGGCGGCCACGUCGGCUUCGUCGCACCCAACGCUCAAAAAAUCGCAAAUGUAGUCUGAGGGAGUCGCCGAUGGAGGAGAUGGCGGCGCCGCCACGUCCAGAUCUUCAUCUCCCUCACCUUCGACAGCAUCGGCCAGGGCCCAGAAGUGGCCCCCCACGCACCGGCGAUCACCGGAGGCGUAGGACGCCGACCCCGUGGGGAUUCCGGCGGAUGAGCCGCCAGUCGCCCCCUGCAAUACCUCGAGCACGUGUGUCCUUUGCUCUCGCCUUUCUUCCACAUCAAGAGUGCCAAUGAGAUCCAGGACAGAAAACUCCUGUCUCUUAUGCUUCAGUAAGGUAGCAAAGUUCCUCCACGAAGGAGGAAGCUUAGUGAUGAUACCCCCGGCAACAAAUUUGUCCGGUAGCAUGCAAUUGAAGUGCUCAAGUUCUCUAGCAAAUGAUUGUAUUUCAUGAGCUUGCUCAACCACGGAGCACUCUUCAGUCAUCCUGUAAUCAUAUAAUUGCUCCAUGAUGUACAGCUCAGUGCCGGCAUCCGAGACCCCAAACUUGGCCUCGAGUGCGUCCCACAUAUCUUUCCCAUUAUCAAUUGACGCAUAAGCAUCAACUAUGUUCUCACCAAGAACACUCAAGAGAGCAGCCUUAAACAAGGUAUCCAUUUUCUGAAAAGCUUGUGCCUAUUGAGCAUCUUGCUCUCCUUCAGGUUUGCCAAGAGUAACAUCAUAGCAACUCAUGGUUUGAAACCAUAAGACUGCUCUCACGCGCCACCUCUUAUAGUGGAUACCCUCAAACAUAGGAGGUCUCAUGGAAGCAGCAAAACACUUGGGGUAAAUUGCCUAUAAUAAGGUUUUUGGAUUGUUGGAAAUAUGAGCAAUUUACUGAAUGAUUUUAUUAACAGAAAUAUAGAUAAAGUAUGACUAGUGUAGCAGUGAUAAAACAAACCAUGCGAUUUGACAAAGAGAACGUAAACAACAUCUUCAUAUAUGAACCGUAACUAAACAUAUCUUGAGCAGGCAGUAUAGAAAGUUGCAUAUAUGAGAUAGAGUGUAACAUAUCUAGGGCAAAUACUAGAACAAGGAACUGUAGCAGAACAUCUAAUAGAAAGGGGACGAACACGUACGGGGCAGCAGCAGCAGAAGCGCUGGACUUGGGGUCGGUGUCCUCGCCAGCCAUGUCGUCGAGGAGGUCGUGGACGUCGGGGAAGAAGUCGUCGUCGGGGAAGUAGUUGUGGGGGUCCGGGGCGUCCGUGACGAAGAAGUCAGUAGUCGCGCGAAGCGCUCCCCAAAAAUAUUAUCACCCUUCUCCCGUACAGGACUCAAAAGGUGCGGUUUCAGAGGCCUACUGCCCGACUCGCGGUGCACGCCGCAAGCGGGAUGAGGAAGACAGCAGCAGAGCAGAGAUUGGAACCUGGUGGCGAGAGGAAGGAGAAGUUCUGGUGCGUCACUCUGAGAGGAGCGACCUCCCUUUUAUAGGCGCAAGAGAAGAAGGUGAGAGGGCAGCGACGGAAGGUGAAACGAAGAGACGAAGAUGAAGCAAACAUCCAGCAGCCGAAGGGCUGCACCGUUCGCAUUCAAACUCCACUAUCGCAAAAACAUUUCAGCUUCUGUGUGACCUUUCGUAUACCCGUCGUGCGUGGCAAAAAUUUAGACACCGGCUCGGCUCAUUCCCGCAACCCGCGGCGCGGCGCGGCGGGCGGUGGAGGAGGAGCGCGCGUGGAUGUCCCUCUUGUUCUCAUGCUCAUACAUGUGGGGAAAGAACCUCCCUUAUAAAGAGAUCCAACUCCCUCUAAACUAGCAAUGUGGGACUAAACUUUAGUUCCACCUCUUGCCUUGCACGAAUGGGCUGCGUGUGUCUCUAGGAUUUAUUAGGAGUUUCUGAAACUGCUAUUGGGCUGGUCCAUAAUAGAAAAAAUUCCAGCAAUAACCUCCCAGGUUCUGUGUCGACUAUAGAAUCAAAGAAUAAGUGGACAAUAUGAUUCCAAAAUAUGAUUUUAUUUCCAUCCCCCACCAUCCACAUGUACCCAAACUUCAAAACCUUGCAAGCCCACAUCACUCAUUGCAAGAACCGGGAAGGUUUAAGGGGUUUGUUGGCAAAUAUGUUAAUUUUUAAUGUACUUGCUAACUAUGGUUUUCCAAUUUUAUUCUUCCUUUUUUACAAAAUCUUUUAACCCGGUUUCCUAGGAGGCACAAGUUCACAUAUGUAAGAUUGGGGAUGCCUAGUCCACCACGUUCUUUCUUCAUAGAUAGUAGGUGCCAAUUGGUCAAGUGAAGAUUAUAUUCUUUUCAAAAUCACUCAUAACGAAUUGUUAAUUAUAUCUAAACCCCAUGUUGCAAAUUUGAAGAAAAAGAGGAGGUACACAUGAAUGAUCGAGAGGCGGGCUUUUAUCGAUAGAAGCCUAACAGGGUAGGACAAUAGUUUACCUCUCCAUCCUGCAAUCCAUUUAACAGUUUUAUCAACUAUUGGUUCGAUGUCCUACUUUCUAAGCUUACCGGUUCCUUUAAAAAUAUGAUAUAUCCAACAUAAUUGAAUGACACACUUUCCCUCAACCUCACGCGAUGGCGGUGGCUAGGGCACUCUUCCCCCCAAGCUUCAUAGUCGAGACUAUGGAUCCACCUCCCCUCACAUGUUUCUUAGGCGACCGAUGGCAGGGAAGGGGGUCACAGUACCUUGGCUCCUGCUUGUAGUUUAGGUAUGGAUUUUCCUGGCAUGGGUGGUGAUUCAUCUUUGAGCUGGUCUUCCAGGCUCUGAUCAUCCUCAAUUUCGUCCAUCAUUACGGAGUCAAUGAUGCUUAGAUGUAUAUUUUGUCGUCUCCUUUGGACAACAAGGCUAGGGUUUCUCGUUAUGCGUACGUGGAGCUGAGAUUUGAUGUCAGGUGCUUUGAAUCGAUUCAAGGGUUCAAUGGCGACAAUCGCGGCUUUGGGGCACUGGUCCUUGCGGGCACGAGCACAAUGACUUAGCGACUGUCAUCGACUAGGCCAUGUCGGCUCCGGUUCGGGAGCGGCUACAUCAGCACGUCGGUGACUUGUUUGGACAGCGCUAGUGAUCCAAGGUCCUCGAUGUAUAUUUUAUUACGCAUGGGGGUGCUUUGUACUUAUGGUGAAACUUUAUAAUAUAUCCAUGUCCUUCUCACAGACCAAAAACAAGUACAUCAUAUUGCCAAAGGGUUAAUUCGAUGAAGAAAAUCUCUAACUGGAAAUGAAACCUCUAAAUUAUUCUCUAGGCAGUAUUUUCUGCGGCAGGAAAUCUCUAAACUAUCAUCCUACCUUGCAAAUUCCACAGGUCCGCUUCUUCAAACGAAAUAAAAUUUCAACAGGACAAGCCGUGAAAGGAAAAUGAAAACUGCCACAACACUAGUGUGAAACCUUUUUUUAGAGGUUGUCGGUGAGAAACUGGAGAUGCAGGAAAAUAAAAAAAUUGAGCAAGAAAGCUAGGUCUUUAUAGAUUAAUUCCAAUGUUUACAGGAAAAGCGAUUGGGUCACUCGACGUGCCCAACCAAAUAUGGCGUCCAUAAGGGAGAGAAGUACCUGACCUAUGAGCUUCAGUAUUUGAAACUCGAAGCUCGAAAACAAAAUUACAAGAAGUAAAAUUUCUAACAGUUUCUAGGAUCUCUCUAAUAACACUUCCAUAGCUUCCUCCCACGCCCUGGCGAAUAUGAUUCACAACAUGUCUACAAUCCGAUGCAAUUUGGACAUGCUACAUACCCAAGUCUUGCGCCAGUGAAAGAGCUUCUUGGCAAGCUAAAGCUUCCAAACAAGCUGGAUCCGCUAUGCCAUGUAUCACUAAUACUUACAACCCAAUAUAGGAACCGUCUCGAUCACGACAGAUGGAUGUUGCAGGAAAAUAAAUGGGGUAGUGUGAUGGUGGGGUUGGGCUGCAUCGGCAUGUGAGGGUGCAGCUAGAGGCCCAAUACACAGAAACCGGAAGCCCAGUGCCUAGAGAAUAAAUAAUUUUAUUUGAAUGUCCAUUUGCUAAAAAAACUUGAAACAAAAUUGCUCGAAAAAAAACUAAUCAAUCUCCACGGCUCGGUAUCACGAAUAUUGUCAUACAUGAGUAUGAAAUACGGUCAUAUGGGGCCAUUUCUAGAAUACCAUAAGUUCAGUACUUUGGACACUACUGAAAUGAUAUUCACGGAACUUCAAAAGAUAGAAAAAAAAUCCACAUCUGUUGUUCCCCUUGUUUGCUCUGUUUUUCUUUUCUUUUUUGCCCAGUUCCCAUGCAUCGGAAAUUUAGUGUUAGUCUGGCAAAUUAAGUAUUUUGAUUAUGAAAACAGAGUUACAAAUUGGCGUCUGAUGUCGAAUAGAAAUGGUAAAAGAGGGAUACUUAGUUUGUUUUGUACCUAACAUUUUAUACUAUUUGUAGAUCUACUGAAAUUGUUCACAAUGCUCACUAUUUUUUUUAAUAAUUCAUUUUUUGUUUUACUGCUCAUCUCACAUAGCUCGGGCUUAGAACACCACUUUCAGUAUGAAACCUUCUUUUUAGGGGUCGCCGGUGAGAAACUAGAGACGCGGUAAAUAAAUGGGGGAGUGUGAUAGUGGGGCUGGGAUGCAUCGGCAUGUGGGAGUGCAGCUAGAGGCCCAAUGCACACGGACUGGAAGCCAGUGCCCACAGAAUAUUUAGUUUGAAACAUACGCUCUGUAUUUAACAUUCUAUACUGUUCGUAGAUCUACUGGAAUUGUUACCAGUUAACUUUUCCACAGUGCUGAGAGAAUCUUCGUUCCUGGCCAAAGUGGACCACAUACUUGUAGCUAAUUGGGUACCAGGCACAGGCAGGGCCGGCCUUGGGGAGGGGCAGGGGGGCGGCCGCCCCGGGCCCCCACUCUCGAGGGGCCCCCGCCCAGGUACGUGUACAUAGGUACCCGUCGCUGUAAUUAGGGACGAAACUCCAGGGGCGCACAAACUUUCCUUCUCCAGCGUGGCAGCUUAGGAAACGACUGGGCCUAGCCCAAGUAGUAAUUAGCAGGGUUUGUUUUCUCGUGGAUUAUUAGUCCCUAAAAAGAAAAAAAUUAAUGCAUAUCCACGCACCAUGCACGGAUCGAGGAGUUAGCGGCGAUUCAGCACCAUCACGAUGCAAGCAAAAGAAUGCGGCGGCGCACGCACGACGCUAUUGCCGGAUGUCAAUUUUCUCCUCAUCUCCUACAGUCUGCGUGGUUGCCGGUUGUGUAUCUGCGUGGUUGCCGGCUGUGUAUCUGUACCUUGUCCUCAUCCGUCCAGUGAGGCCACGACGCCGACCGGCGCGGCGGCGCCCAGCGAACUGCACCACAUCCCCGUCCGGACGUACACCAGAUGAGGUAGCCUAUGCCGUAGCAAUUUUUCUCCUAUUGAAACUGAUACAAGUUUAUAAAUAGUACUAUUAAUAUUGCAUUUCUAUUGGAGUGAAAGGGCAUUAUAAGGCGUUGUUGUUUGCGAGUUCAACGUGAUAAUUGGUGGUUUCCAUAUACUAAUUGUUUACUUCAUAUACAGAGAUGAGUUGAUCAAAUUGCAAAUAUGAUCCGCUAAUAUUGCUUUCAGGAGGAAUAUGAGCGAUUCAAGUGAUUUGAAUGUGGUGGUGGUAUUUGCUGUGGAAAAGCAAACUAUUGUUAAUCAAGAGGAUGAAGGUCCUAUGGAAGAUAUGCUGCCAAAGUUGACACACAUGAAAUUAUGUGAGUGAUCAUGGGCCCACAUUUAUAAAAACAAAUUUUAUUAUAAAUAUUUAUGAUAUAAGAAUUCGAAAUAAUCUAGAUAGAGAAAUGAAGCGACAUCUCAUAUACAUACUUUAUAUUUCAAUUAGAUGUCUAUAUUAGGGGGGGCUCAGUUCUAAUUUCGCCCCGGGCCCCCGAAAUCUCAGGACCGGCCCUGGGCACAGGGAGUUAUUUGGAUUGGAAUGCCGAGAAAAUCUUAGUGCCGUGGUCAAAACUUUUGAUCGUUUGUUCAUUGCACAAGCCUGCGUACAGGUGCUAAGCCUUCAUGUAGGCAAUUUUUUUUAAUGUGGCAAGACAAUUAAGUGAAGAGAGAUGAGUUUGGUGACUCCAGAAAGAAUCAAUGCCAAACGUGUAAAUCUAGGCCAAACAUUUAAGGGCAUCUUCAAUGGGUGUAAGAUAGUUGUUGGUAGACUUUGCCAUAUACUCCCUCCGUCCCAAAAUUCUUGUCGAAGAAAUGCAUACAAAUGGAUGUAUCUAGAACUAAAAUACGUCUAAAUACAUCCAUUCCUCCAACAAGUAUUUCCGGACGGAGGGAGUAGGAUUUUUGAUGAUGUGUCAUGCAAUAAAUGAGGAAAGAGAGGAAGAUUGUAUGUAUAUGAACCAACACCUCUUGCACAAGCUCCAAUGUAGAAUGAGAGAGCAUUUUAUUUAUUAUCUCACAUCCUAAUGAAGAAACUAGAUACAACCCAUUGAAGAUGUUGUAUGUUAUGGUGUUGGUUGAUGACAUGACAUAUUUUACCAACAAGCUAACAUACAAACUGUUGGAGAUGCCCUAAGUGAAGCAAGCUCACCAAUGCAUGAAAGAGUUUAGUAGCUAAGUAAUUAAAUGAAGGGAGCUUAGACCUCUUCCAAUGCAAAGGUGCUUAGAUGAAGUGCUAAGUGCAUUAAAUACCUUAGCAACUUAUCUCCUCAAUGCAUAGGUGCUUAACUUGUUGUUGCUAAGCACACUUUAUUUAAUGAGUUAGCACCGAAAGUCUUUCAUGCAUUGGUCAAGUUGUUUUAUUUAAGUAGUUUGCCUAGGUUUUCGCGCUUGGCAUUGGUUCUUCAUGGGGUCACCAAAGUGCUCUCUUCCCUCAUUAAAUGUUGUUCCAUGUCAUUUUUUUGCUUAUGUGGCAUGCUUAGCACCUGUCCACCGUGAAGCACUGGAAAGGGCCUUAGCAACAACAAUUAAGCACCAAUGCAUUGGAGACUAUAGUUGCUAAACUAUUUAAUGCGCUUAGCACCUUAUCUAAGCAACUAUCCAUUGGAAGAGGUCUUAGCGUGCCUAUAUGGUGCUCUUUUCAGCUUAUAUAUAUAUUCCCUCGAUUUCAUGAUAUAAGUUUUUUAUACAAAAAAAAUCUUUUUGAGAUUUCAAUAGGGACUACAUACGUAUGUAGCAAUUUGAGUGAAUGUACACUCUAAAAUAUGUCUAUACUAGUAAGAUGCCCGUGCUACGCUACGGAAUCAAAAAGAAGGCAUGAGUGCAAUGCUAGGGGACAACGAAAUAAUGUAGGAGACAUUGAUCAAAAUGAUGUUAUACAUUUGAAUAUUUGAUCGGUACACAUUGGGAACAAUCAAACAUACGGGCUUCCAUUUUCACCUUGGAAGAAGACUUGUUCUUCCUACUCGGCUUUCCCUCUGUCUGCUAAGUCCUAUAUCGAGGUGUCCGCUAGGGACGGAGAGCAUUUGGCAAUAGCUAAUAAGUCCACAUAGUGUAUCCUUCUUUUUCUUGUUUGUUCGAAACAUCAGCGCUAAAAUAUUAGCUCUUGAGCCCUCACUUCAUCUAUCUUCUCACCUAAAAACACCUAAAAAGAUAUCGGACAAUCAGUAUUGCAUGUAUAAUGGUCUAUAGUAUAUUUAGACAAUGGAAAUAUUAACAAGCUUGUAGAUGAUCUGUAGUAUUUUGGUGAAGAUUUUUUUUGACAAGUGUUAAACUACAAUAUUUGUUUCGCAAGUGGACAGAAGGACAAAUAUUCCUUAAACUAAAAGACAACUACUUAGGACCCCAAUGCUCUAAAUAUACUAAAUUAAAAAAAUCUAGUGGUUUUUGCCUCGCGACACUGAAAUAGUAUUCAACAUAAACAAAUUGGUACCAUUUUAUAGGGAAUAUGUUACGACCGUAGAGGCCCACCGGACAAUCUUAGCCCACAAGUUAUCUUAGGUUAAUUCUUAUGCAAGUUAUCUUAGGUUAAUUCUUAUGUAAGUUAUCUAGGUUAUAAAUAUAGGUUGUAAGACUCUUUUUGGAAUUAAGCAAUAAAGAUAGUUCUAUCAUAUUGCCCGGCUCCAGAGGAGCUGGAAACCCUAGCCGCACCUUGCCCUAGCCGCCGCCGCCCUUCUCCUCCCUCGCGACGGCGCCAACACGCCGGAGCCGCCGUCCUCGGCCCCAACCCUCGUUGUUCUGUCCCUACAACCUAAGGGGCAGAGUCGGUAGGAACCCUAGUCCUACCAAUUUGAUAUCAGGUACCCGGGUUUCGACCAUGUCUUCGCAGCCUCCAAUUCCGCCACCACCGCCACUGCCCGUCAACUCCACUACCGCUGCCGAUUCAUCGCCGGGCGUCACGGCCUCGCUCUCGGCGGGCGCCACGGCGUCCCUCUCGGCGCCGAUCUUCCCUGCACCCGGCACCGCGCCGGGCCACAGCCUGCCGCCACCCUCCGUCCAACACGCGUCGCCGUCGCCUCCCCCCGUGCCGCAGCAGUUUACGCCGGAGGCCAUGGCCGGCAUGCUCAAUGACUUGGUCGUCGCGGUCCAGGGCAUCCGCCUCUACUUGGCUAGCCCGUACGGGCCGCCACCGCAGCUCCAUCCGGCCGUGACCGCAGGACAGCCGGCGCUACCAUGGUACUCCGUCCCCGCGGCCAUCACCGGGGGUUACCCGGCGCUGCCCUCACCGGCGGCUCCGACGCCACCUUGGCCACAGUGGCCGACGCCAGCGCUCGCGGUGCCACCCGCGCCGCCAGCAGCCGCCCAGGGCCCGCAGUGGUCGGCCUACUCNNNNNNNNNNNNNNNNNNNNNNNNNNNNNNNNNNNNNNNNNNNNNNNNNNNNNNNNNNNNNNNNNNNNNNNNNNNNNNNNNNNNNNNNNNNNNNNNNNNNNNNNNNNNNNNNNNNNNNNNNNNNNNNNNNNNNNNNNNNNNNNNNNNNNNNNNNNNNNNNNNNNNNNNNNNNNNNNNNNNNNNNNNNNNNNNNNNNNNNNNNNNNNNNNNNNNNNNNNNNNNNNNNNNNNNNNNNNNNNNNNNNNNNNNNNNNNNNNNNNNNNNNNNNNNNNNNNNNNNNNNNNNNNNNNNNNNNNNNNNNNNNNNNNNNNNNNNNNNNNNNNNNNNNNNNNNNNNNNNNNNNNNNNNNNNNNNNNNNNNNNNNNNNNNNNNNNNNNNNNNNNNNNNNNNNNNNNNNNNNNNNNNNNNNNNNNNNNNNNNNNNNNNNNNNNNNNNNNNNNNNNNNNNNNNNNNNNNNNNNNNNNNNNNNNNNNNNNNNNNNNNNNNNNNNNNNNNNNNNNNNNNNNNNNNNNNNNNNNNNNNNNNNNNNNNNNNNNNNNNNNNNNNNNNNNNNNAGCCGCCCAGGGCCCGCAGUGGGCGGCCUGGGCCGCGCCACCCACCGCCUCGCCGUCCCUCCCGGCGGCGAUAGUGCAGGUUCCGCCGCCGCCACUGCCCAGCCCUAGCCUAGGUUGGUCCGCGCCAGGCGGUCUUCCGAUCCAGGAGGUCCGGUUCCCAUCGUCACCAUCUCCGCUUCCGGGCUGGCUCCACGGGACAUCGCCUCCGCCGGUUUACACGGAGGCCCGGGAGCCGUCGGGUUCCCAGUUGCAGCCCGGGGCGUCGGAGGCCACGGGGGCCUACGCCGACCUUCCCACCAUGGACCAAGCACCGUCAUCAGCUCUCCGCACCGCCGAGGCAGUGGGCCAUGGCGCGCCAAACCAGCAGCCGCCCCGGUUCGCCAAGCUCGACUUCGCCACUUAUGACGGCUCAGACGACCCGCUUAACUGGCUCAACCAGUGUGACCAGUUCUUCCGCGGGCAGCGCACACCCGCGUCCGAGCGCACUUGGCUGGCUUCCUACCAUCUCCGUGGGGCCGCCCAAACAUGGUACUACGCCCUCGAGCAGGACGAGGGCGGCAUGCCCCCGUGGGAGCGCUUCCGCGAGCUGUGCCUUCUUCGCUUCGGACCGCAAUUAUGUGGGAGCCGAUUGGCCGAGUUGGGCCGCCUACCUUUCACCUCCACGGUGCAGGAUUUCGCCGACCGCUUCCAGGCCCUGGUGUGUCAUGCGCCAGGUGUGAAGGCCCUGCAGCGGGCUGAGCUCUUCGUCGGCGGCCUUCCGGAUCACAUUCGCGUCGACGUGGAGCUUCGCGGACCCCAGGAUCUCUAGUCGGCCAUGUACUACGCCCGCGCGUUCGAGCGCCGCGCGGUGGCCAUCCAGCAGGAAUCACCGUCCCGGACCGCUGGGUCGCUACCAAGGCCGGAUUCCGCGCAGGGUCGGCCUGCGUAGGCUUCUGCAACACCCCUCGCCGCGACCGCGGGACGCCCGUUCCGCCGGCUCACCUCAGCCAAGCUCCUCGAGCGUCGCCGCCAAGGAUUGUGCUUCAACUGCGACGAGCCCUACACGCCCGACCAUGCCUGCUCGCGACUCUUCUACCUGGAGGUUGUAGACUACUUUCCGGAGGACACCGUCGCCGCCGACCUGGCCGCCCCAGCUGUCGAGAAGGUGUUUGACGCUGGUUGAUCGCCUUGAGGAGUUCCUCCAGCACUUCCCCACCUUACAGCUCGAGGACGAGCUGUUUGUGCAGGCGGGGAGAAGUGUUACGGCCGUAGAGGCCCACCGGGCAAUCUUAGCCCACAAGUUAUCUUAGGUUAAUUCUUAUGCAAGUUAUCUUAGGUUAAUUCUUAUGCAAAUUAUCUAGGUUAUAAAUAUAGGCUGUAAGACUCUUUUUGGAAUUAAGCAAUAAAGAUAGUUCUAUCAUAUUGCCCAGCUCCAGAGGAGCCGGAAACCCUAGCCGCACCUUGCCCUAGCCGCUGCCGCCCUUCUCCUCCCUCGCGACAGCGCCAACACGCCGGUGCCGCCGUCCUCGGCCCCAACCCUCGCUGUUCUGUCCCUACAACCUAAGGGGCAGAGUCGGUAGGAACCCUAGUCCUACCAGAAUAAAACUGCCGAGAGACUAUAUAAUGCACCGAAAUCUAAUUUGUCGCGUCGUCUCUGACUCCACUUUGAGCGAUCAUUCUCAUCUCCGGCCAUGGUGGGCCAUGUGGUGCGUUUGGUUGACUAUCUGAUGCAAUGAGCUCGAGUAGAAUUUCCCUCGCCAUGUAUCUAAACUAAUUAAGAUAAAGGAAGAUAUACGUCUUUAAAUAAUGUUUACAACAAUAUGCUGGUUCAUGUAGGUUUAAGAGUCUACUAUCAUGAAACAAAAGAAUCACACAGUUUUCCCUGUGAUUCCAAUCAUAUAUAACUUGCACAAUAUCAAAAUUUACUUGCAGAAGUUAAAAACUGAUAUAUGAACUCACAUGAUCAAGGAGAUGGAAGGCACAUGUUGAAGUCAUGAAAAAACUAUCUAAAGCAACAUUUCACUAAUUAUCACAUAUCUGACCACACAUCAGAAGGUUAUUACUAAUGCUACAUACAUUUCAUCAAUUAGCACUUCCAAAUAGAUCUCACACAACCACACAGGUACGUAUUUUCUUGUAAAAGAGGUUAUUUCAGAUUGCAUUCAGUACACAAUAAUAUAUAGCGGACUGGGAAGUAAAUUACUUGAUACAACAAAGAGAAAAAGCUUAUCUCUCUUCCUUUAGUGUGUGACUCGUGUGUGACUCAAGAACUUCUCUACUUACAAAUAUAUUUAGCCAUGCUUGAUCAUGCUCCUCUAUGCCUUGCACCAAAUCAUCCCAAGUACAAAAAUCUGACGAAUGUCGCAAUGAAAAGGGUAUGAAUAUUGACCUGAGGGGAUGGUACAGGUUUCUGCAAAGAAUUAAAUAGGAAGUCUGAAUCCACUGGUGACAAUGUACUUUGCAGAUCCACAAACAAUUCGUUGCUUAAAAUUUCACAAAUCACAUGUUUAGGAGACCACAAUUUCUAUCAUGAACGGAUCGGGCACACAACUGUACUCCAAAAACUUGACAAUUUUUUUGAUCUGGAAGGAGAAAAACAUGACUUACGGGGAGUUGAGCGUGGUUGGGGACAGUCACAGUGGAUGAAGGUAGUUGACAUCGGCGCGGCCGGGAACAAACAGGUCACCCCUGGAAGGCUCUGCAUCUGCAAUGCCAGGAUGACUCGUGGCGUUCCUGCCGCUGGUAGCCUCCAUUGGAGGCACGGAAGAAAGGGAAUCAUGUUGGAGGUUGAGAACCAGAGCCUGCAUAAAAAUGGAAUGAGUGGACAGGCUCCGAACGGAGAACAAAGAAUAUAUACUGCACUAUCCUCUCAGUCUCCGAUAUCUUGCGUGCCCAGGUCUAGAAGGAGAGGUCGUGGGUAAAGCUCGAAGCAUCAUGUAAUACAGGUAUAGGGAACAGUAGCAGUUGGAAAAUUCAGCAGCAGACACACCUGCGGUGCAGCCCAAGCUCGCCCUGUUGCAGACCGAGCACUCUCAACACUGCCUCCUCCUGCCGGCACACCCUUCUUCAACAAGCAGACACAGCAGCAGCAGAUGAUCUUGUCCUGCGGUAGCCUCCGAUCCGGCAGCUUCUUCUCCAGCUACCUCGCGAGGCGAGGAGGGGCGGCUGGGCCCAUGUUGGCGAGGGGGCUGCGGGGCAGGCCGGCAGGCUCGCGCAGCCCACCAUGCGACCCUGGGUUAGGCGCUGGAGCCGAGCCGAUGCAUCGAGCAAGGGGGGCGAUGCGGCGGCGGCUGCCGUGGGGACAUAGGACACAGGCGGCGGCAAGGGACUUGGCGGCGAGGCUUGGCUCAUGGUGGACCGGAUCCAGAGCGAGGGAAGUUCGGGAGGCAGCGGAGGAGAGUGGUGACGCGAGAUCCCGGCGCCGGCGAGGAAUUUGGGAGGGGUCUAGAAGACUCUGUUUCUUUCUUGAGAGGAGGAGAAAGGAGAAGAGACAGCCCGUUGGAACUACCGGGCACCAGGUGGUGUUGUGUAUGGAUGUCCCUGUUCCAAAAUUCUGUCCGAGCACAAGGUGUUUCUUGAAAAAGUGCAGGUGUCAGGGAUCUCAGCCAUACAUUUCAGAUUAGACGGCAUAUAUGAUGUGAAGACAGGCACACCAUCACCACUAACUCGCGUUUUUAUAGGAGUAGAGAUACGUCCAUAUGUAAUUUUCGUAUUUGAAUCUCUAAAAAGACUAACAUUUAGGAGUAGAAACGGAUGGAGUAUAUCGAAAAAACAAUAUAAUAAUACGUGCAACGGCAUCCCAUCCCCACCGGGCGAUCGUGCAUGUUACGAGCGCGCAUAUGUUCGGACGCACGCAUGCUGUGACGAGCCCAGCAAGAGACUAGUGCACGGCCGGCGCGACUGAUUCCAUGGAGCCGUGUGGUGCGUGGACGUGGAAGCACGCGCGUGCGACGCGUGUCCCGUCUCCUCGCUCGGGGCCGCCUCGUGCAGGGCGGGAACACAGAGAGAGACCAAUUAAUGGCCGCCGCCGGCGGCUUUCUUGGCCAUUGUUGGUGUAUUUGGUUCACAGCCAACGAUGACCAUACCAAAAAAUUGGCGUGCCCGCAUGAUUUGGCUAUCGUUUGGACUGGGGCCAAAAUUUUGGCUCGCCCACCACGCCCUGGACCUUCCCAUGUUAUUUUCGCCAAUUCUUUGGCUCGUCGUCGGCGCGGAAAACGUUCGCCAAUAAAUUGGCGAGUUCGACGCCCGCUCUUCCGUACGUGAAUACGCUGUAUUGGAAUGACAGGCGAAUUAUCCGGCCAAAUAAACGCUAACUGAAUCUAAACCUUCGCGCGCUAUCGCAAAUCUACCUGAUUAAAUUGGGUGUUUGCCUCCCUAAUUAACUGCAGCCCUUUUUCUGCGUGAGAGUCGCUCCAUGCACGCCAUGCAUGCUGGUACUGCCUCCGUAAUCCAAAGCAACCCUAAUAACAAUUGCAACGAUUUGUUUCCUAAUCGUGUUUUCAAUGCCGUGGACUUUAGUCUCGUUGACCUUAUAAUCCCUUCUUUUUCUUUGCGGAACGGCCCAUAGUCCUUUAUGCGUCUCACUCUUUUAGCAGCCUAUAUCAUUGAUAAACUAGAAUCAAACCAAGCACUAACCCAAUACAUGUCACUAACCCAAUACAUGUUGCCAUACAUAAACUCAGUUGGCUCCAAACCAAACGGAAGUCGAGCAACUUUGCCGUAAAAAUUGGCAUGUACAAUGGCUAUAAACCAAACAACACCAUCUUUCCAAAAUUUUGGUCAUGCCCUUGCUUUAGUCAUACCAAUAUUUUGGUGGGGCUAGUUGGGGCUCAAACCAAACACACCCUGUGUCUCUGGUUUCGCCCAAUCUCCUGCCUGCGUGCGCCCUUUUUUUGGUAGCUUCGGCACCCCACGAUAGCGUCGCUGGUCAACGAGUCUGCCAGGCAACAGCAGCGGCAGAGGCAGCUAUCACAGGUGGAUGCUUUUUUCACCUCGUUUGUAUUUGCAUUGUAUUGUGGGUGUUUGGCAUUGGUUGCUCGUCGCGAUAUUUGGUGUUGUUCGUUCAUUUUCAAAGAACCAGCAAUGGAUGAAAUGAAACACCGGCCUAGACCCCACUAGUAGAAAACAGGAUUUUGGUCCAAACUUAAUGUACAUACUAGUCCUGGUUGCAUUACGAACCGGGACUAAUGUGAGCAUUAGUCCUGGUUCGAGCGGCUAGGGCGUCGGGAAGGCAUUAGUACCGAUUCAAAUGGGAUCUUUAGUCCCGGUUUGAGGAACGAACCAGGACUACCCUUUAGUCCCGGUUCGUAUUUCAAACCGGGACUAAAGAGGGUCUGAAAUUUGUUUUUUUUUUGUUUUUCCAUUUGUUUUUUACUUUUAGUUUCUUUUUGCAUUAAAAUUUGUCUAGUUUCUCUUUGUGCCAUUAGUUUCAAAUUUGAAUGAUUUAAAUAUGAAUUUGUUCAAAGUUGCUUCAAACCCUAGAUUGUGAAUAAUUUGAGUUUAAAAAUAGUUUUUAAUUUAAUUCUUUUUGCUCCUAGUCACAUGUCAGGUUGUUGUCACAGUAAGAUUUAUUUGGUUAUUUUAGAAUAAUUUAAAUUAGGAUUUUAAUUAAAACAACACUGCUUUGCUUAUAUAGUUGUUUUAGUACUUUAAAUGUUGUUUAUCAAUUAUUUUUUGUUAGUUCUUUCUGUCAUUUUAACAUGUUGUAGUAUGCUUCUGUUAGACAACAGUAGAUAAAAUUUUAUAAUUAAUUAAUAUUAAUUUUGCUACUGUUUUGUAUUAAUAUUUGUUUAGCCUUUAAUAAUAGUUGAUAGAAUUAGUUUUGCUAUAUUAAAAAGUAAUUCUUUUUGCCACUUUAAUAGAACGUGACUCUGGCUUGGUUAACCUUAGUUAUGACUUUGGNNNNNNNNNNNNNNNNNNNNNNNNNNNNNNNNNNNNNNNNNNNNNNNNNNNNNNNNNNNNNNNNNNNNNNNNNNNNNNNNNNNNNNNNNNNNNNNNNNNNNNNNNNNNNNNNNNNNNNNNNNNNNNNNNNNNNNNNNNNNNNNNNNNNNNNNNNNNNNNNNNNNNNNNNNNNNNNNNNNNNNNNNNNNNNNNNNNNNNNNNNNNNNNNNNNNNNNNNNNNNNNNNNNNNNNNNNNNNNNNNNNNNNNNNNNNNNNNNNNNNNNNNNNNNNNNNNNNNNNNNNNNNNNNNNNNNNNNNNNNNNNNNNNNNNNNNNNNNNNNNNNNNNNNNNNNNNNNNNACAAAAGAAAAUGAUAAAAACAUCAAAAAUUAAAAUCCUUCGAGAUGUAGUUAUGUUACUACAUCUACUAGUUAGGAAAAUUAAAAAACUUAAAUUUGGACAUGUUUUGCAAAAAAGUGUUAUGAAAAAGUAAAACGGCUAUAACUUUUGCAUAAGAUGACGAAAAAACGUAUAAUAUAUCAAAAUAUUCAGCACGAAAAUACGGUUCCGAUUUUGAUCGCCGUAUGUCAUUUUGCAAAUUUUUAGAAUCCUCUAAUUUGAAAAGGAAAAAAAGUUAUCCUCAAAUUUAAGUUUCUUUGAAUUUUUUGUCAAACCGUGGUCAAAAUAUGGUCAAACUACUUAUUCAAGAAAUAUUAGUGUUACUAAAUAAUUCUUUUUUUAGAAUAAUAGUUUCAAACUCAAACGGUGCUUCAUACUCAAGUUCAACUCUUAAGGGUUAAUAGGAUUGACAGCUUAGUAUUGUCAGGAAAACAACAAGUGCAGACUUGGAAACUAGGGGGAGUAGAACUCGAAAGUUAAGCAUGCUUAGGCUGGAAUAGUGAGAGGAUGGAAGACCCACCGGAAAGUUAGACGAUUUGAAAUGAGUGGUUCAUACUUGAGCAGUGAUGAGGGGUGAUUAGAGAUUAAAUUGUCAAAUAAAUCAGAAAUUUGAAAAUCGGGAAAAAUUUGUUUUUAAAAAACAUCAGAAAAACAAAAUUUCAAAAAAGUUCCUUUAGUACCGGUUGGUGUUUCCAACUGAGGCUAAAGGUGGAGCUCCUUUAGUCCCAAUUCGUAAGCAAACCGGGACUAAAGGUUUUGGGCUUUAGUUUUGAGAUACAAUCAAUUGAAGAGAAUAAAACUGGGUCCAAUAAAAAACAGGAAUGAAUUUAUUAAAAGGGAUUGGAAAGGGAUAAGUACAAAGGGAGAAACCCUUCUAUAUAUUCUAUAUUAUCAAAAAACAAGUAUAAAAUAUAUAAAGAAAAAAUGUUAAAAAAUUCUUGUUGUCUUCUUAAAAAAAUCCUUAUUUUGACUCUUAUUGAACCGCGGUAAAGUAUUCUAAUUCAAUAAGAAUUUCGCGGGACGAGCUAAAGUUCUAGCGCAUGAAAGUCGAAGUAUAUACUUUAGUCGAUACAAAGUCCAUUUUUUCGAAGAUCCACUAUGAUAAUGAAAAAGAUUUCUAGAAAUAAGUGGCUCGCGAGAAAUAGAGAGACAGAUUCUCUAUUUGAUCUCGAAGUAGCUCUUCUUCUUUUUUUAAAGCUUAACUCACAUUUCGGGAGCGGAUGCUGCUCGAGCUAAAGAUAUGCCCCCAACUCUUGAACAACUCUCACUUGCCUUAGCCAAUAGCUUAGAUGGCCGGGUGGAGUUAGCUUUUCGACAAAGACCCGUCCCGUGCAGCGAAGCCCUGUGUCGGGGGUUUCAAAUCCCUCCUUGCCCACAGCCUUCCAAAGGGGGAAGGGCCUUUACUUUCCCCCUGAGGGUAGGAAAAUCAUGAUCCGGAUAGCAAACGUAUUAAAGAAGAAAAGAAACUAAUAGAAGUCGAAGACGCGGAAUGAUAGUGAAUAGAGAGAAAGAUUCUUCUGAUUUUCACAGGCCUUUCCAUUCGUCUUUCUUUCGGCAAUCUAUGCAUAAUUCUACUUCUUGAACCACCGAAUCCGCUUUUGAAAAUGAAAUUCGAUUUUCAAGGAAAUUUUUGAAUAAGAGAUAAAUAAACAAUUGAAUUUGAAAAAAAAACUUACAUGCCGCGGAGGAUCUCCUUCCAAGCUUGCAACUGGAGCGACCUAGUGUGUGGUUCUCUCUUUAGCCCUGCAACGCGCCCUUGCUUGGAUGAAAAAAUGUCACCUCUGAAACCGGGACUAAAGGCCCGUUUUCUACUAGUGCGCUCACCAUCACUGGCCGCUGGGCACACAGACAAAAUAUUUCCCCGAUAAGAAGGCGGACGACUUGAAACCCGAGCAACCGCGAGACAACAGCCGACCGAACCGGCUCACAUGCCCCUNNNNNNNNNNNNNNNNNNNNNNNNNNNNNNNNNNNNNNNNNNNNNNNNNNNNNNNNNNNNNNNNNNNNNNNNNNNNNNNNNNNNNNNNNNNNNNNNNNNNNNNNNNNNNNNNNNNNNNNNNNNNNNNNNNNNNNNNNNNNNNNNNNNNNNNNNNNNNNNNNNNNNNNNNNNNNNNNNNNNNNNNNNNNNNNNNNNNNNNNNNNNNNNNNNNNNNNNNNNNNNNNNNNNNNNNNNNNNNNNNNNNNNNNNNNNNNNNNNNNNNNNNNNNNNNNNNNNNNNNNNNNNNNNNNNNNNNNNNNNNNNNNNNNNNNNNNNNNNNNNNNNNNNNNNNNNNNNNNNNNNNNNNNNNNNAAAGGAUGAAUGGCCUUCCGCGAAGCCACACACUUCCGUAAAUCUAAUCCUGGGGGCCUCCUAUACGAUGCUUUGUGUUUAAAUAUUACCAUGACGGGCAAAGCCAUAGCUAUACGGACCGUUCCAUCCGUCGCUCGUUGGUUUCUAAAGGUUGUCAAUUGGUUUCCUAGCGAUUUCUUUUCUCUUUUCUUCAAUUUUGCGGGUUUCAAUUGUUCUUUUCCUUUUAUUUCUCAUUAAAACAUGAUUAUUUAUUUCUUAGUUUUUUAAAAAGCAAACAUUUAAACAAACAUGAAUAUGAAGCAAAUCAACAUUUUUAAAAUUUCAUGAACAUUUUACAAAAACCUGUGAAGAUUUUAAAAAGAAAAUCAUGGAUGAAAGCUUACAAAAAUACACACACAUAAUAAAAAAACAAUAAGAGCACUGUUGAACAUAGUGGUUAGCUAUCUUGCAAACAAGCAUUGCUGAAAAUAGAAACAAUCGGAUACGUGAUGAAGGAAAAUCGAUGAACUUGGUCUUCUUCAACAACUCCCCCCUGAGCUUGAUCUUCUUUAGUAGGUACUGAGUUGGGGACGGCACAAGCUCCAGCGGUGUGCAAGGGCUCAGAGUGGCCAUCUUCAAAGCACGUUGGUGACCAUGUCGGGGAGGGGAAGACAACAGCCCACUGCAUUUGACAAGGAGAAUUCAUUAAGGGGCGCUAGACUAAUACUUGCGCCUUCAGUGCCAGUCUCGAGAAUUCAUUCAACUUCAUCAAGCCGUGAGGCGCUUUAUCAGCAAAGAGAACGUUUGUAUAAAACACUCCAGUUUCUCCAAAACACCAUCCUUGAACAGGAUUUGUCAUUUUUUCAUAGUCAUCUAGGUUAGCCACCACACAAGUUUGAUCUUAGACCAAACAGCGUUAUUGAAGACCUGAUAAUUUCUAGUUUUCCAAAUGCACCACGGAGUACAAGCGCAAAUAGAAUUAAGAGCAUAAUGAUUUUUGUUAUGUAGCAAAAAUCUCGGCACCUGUAAAAAAUCAACACUCACAGGUUUACCAAAGUAUAUGGAAAUAACCUCCCAGGUUGUGUGGCAACUACACAAUCAAAGAAUAAGUGGACAAUAUGUUUUAUCUCAUCACAAAGAAAGACAUUAUGCAGGUUUAAUUAUGUUGUGUUUCUUCACAUUAUCUUAAGUCAUUAGUUUGUUACUAGAGAAUAACUAAAGGAACACUUGCACUUUGUGUGGGGGGGAGAGGUGGACCUGAUCAGAUAAGACAACUGGAAUGAAAAUUGGUCGCACCCCAUUAUACUUAAUGAUGUUAUAAAGAGAGACAAUAUUGUAUGCCCCAUUUGAGUCAUAUUGCCAAACUAGUGCAUUGCCGGUUCUCCAAAGAGACGCGCAUUUGGCAAUCUGCUCAAGACAUUACCAAUCUUCAAUUAACCUAGGUGAGAAAACUGUUCCAAAAGUAAGUUUAAAGGUCUGGUCCUCAAUCACAUUUGCAGUUGUUGAACAUCAUCGGUUGUGAGUAGUGUAAAGAGGCAAAAAAAUUGGACAGACAAGGGGGAUGCGCCAAACCAAUCAUUCCAAAAUAUGAUUUUAUUUCCAUCCCCCACCAUCCACAUGUACCCAAACUUCAAAACCUUGCAAGCCCGCAUCAUUCACUGCGAGAACCGGGGAAGGUUUAAGGGUUUGUUGUCAAAUAUGUUAGUUUUUAAUGUACUUGCUAACUAUGGUUUUCCAAUGUUAGUCUUCCUUUUUGCAAAAUCUUUUAACCCGGUUUCCUAGGAGGCACAAGUUCACACAUGUAAGAUUGGGGAUGCCUAGUCCACCAUGUUCUUUCUUCAUAGAUAGUAGGUUCCAGUUGGUUAAGUGAAGCUUUCUAUUCGCUUCAAAGUCACUCAUAACUAAUUGUUAAUCAUAUCUAAAGCCCACGUUGCAAAUUUGAAGAAAAAGAGGAGGUACAGAUGAAUGAUCGAGAGGUGGGCUUUUAUCAAUACAAGCCUAACAGGGUAGGACAAAAGUUUACCUCUCCAUCUUGCAAUCCAUUUAACAAUUUUAUCAACUAUUUGUUCGAUGUCCUACUUUCUAAGCUUACCGGUUCCUUUAAAAUAUGAUAUAUCCAACAUGAUUGAACGACACAUCUUUCCCUCAACCUCAGGGGGUCGCGGUGGCUAGGGCACUCUUCCUUCCAAGCUUCAUAGUCGAGACUAUGGAUCCACACCCCUUCCACAUGUUGCUCAGGCGGCCGGUGUCAGGGAGGUGGAUCACAGUACCUUGGCUCCUGCUAGUAGUUUAAUUAUGUAUUUUUUUCUCGCAGGGGAGGCGCUUCAUGCUACCUCUUGAGCACUGUGUUGGUUUUCCCUUGAAGAGGAAAGGGUGAUGCAGCAAAGUAGCGUAAGUAUUUCCCUCGGUUUUGAGAACCAAGGUAUCAAUCCAGUAGGGGGCUCUACGCAAGUCCCUUGUACCUACACAAACAAAACAAGAACCUCACAACCAACGCGAUAAAGGGGUUGUCAAUCCCUUCACGGCCACUUGCGAAAGUGGGAUCUGAUAGAGAUAAUAAGAUAAGAUAAAUAUUUUUGGUAUUUUUAUGAUAUAGAUUGGAAAGUAAAGAUUGCAAAAUAAAGUAGAUUGAAAACUUAUAUGAUGGAAAAUAGACCCGGGGGCCAUAGGUUUCACUAGUGGCUUCUAUCAAGAUAGCAUAAGUAUUACGGUGGGUGAACAAAUUACUGUCGAGCAAUUGAUAGAAAAGUGCAUAAUUAUGAGAAUAUCUAGGCAUGAUCAUGUAUAUAGGCAUCACGUCCACAACAAUUAGACCGACUCCUGCCUGCAUCUACUACUAUUACUCCACACAUCGACCGCUAUCCAGCAUGUAUCUAGAGUAUUAAGUUCAUAAGAACAGAGUAACGCAUUAGGCAAGAUGACAUGAUGUAGAGGGAUAAACUCAAGCAAUAUGAUAUAAACCCCAUCUUUUUAUCCUCGAUGGCAACAAUACAAUACGUGCCUUGCUGGCCCUGCUGUCACUGGGAAAGGACACCGCAAGAUUGAACCCAAAGCUAAGCACUUCUCCCAUUGCAAGAAAGAUCAAUCUAGUAGGCCAAACCAAACUGAUAAUUCGAAGAGACUUGCAAAGAUAACCAAUCAUACAUAAAAAAUUCAGAGGAGAUUCAAAUAUUUCUCAUAGAUAAACUUGAUCAUAAACCCACAAUUCAUCGGAUCUCAACAAACACACUGCAAAAAGAGAUACAUCGAAUAGAUCUCCAAGAAGACCGAGGAGAACAUUGUAUUGGGAUUGAAAGAGAGAGAAGAAGCCAUCUAGCUAAUAACUAUGGACUCGAAGGUCUGUGGUAAACUACUCACAAUUCAUCGGAGAGGCCUUGCCGAUGAUGUAGAAGCCCUCCGUGAUCGAUUCCCCCUCCAGCGGAGCGCCGAAAAAGGCUCCAAGAUGGGAUCUCACGGGUAUAGAAGGUUGCGGCGGUGGAAAUAGGGUUUCGUGGUGCUCCUGGAUGUUUUCGGGGUACAUAGAUAUAUAUAUAGGCGAAGGAAGUCGGUCAGGGGAGCCACGAGGGUGGGGGGCGCGCCCACCCCCCUAGAGCGCGCCCUCCUGCCUCGUGGCCGCCUCGGCUGCUUCUUGACGUCCACUCCAAGUCUCUUGGAUUGCGUUUGUUCCAAAAAGAUCUCUCCCGAAGGUUUCAUUCCGUUUGGACUCCGUUUGAUAUUCCUUUUCUGUGAAAACUGAAAUAGGCAAAAAAACAACAAUUUGGGAUGGGCCUCCGGUUAAUAGGUUAGUCCCAAAAAUGAUAUAAAAGUGUAUAGUAAAGCCCAUAAACAUCCAAAACGGAUAAUAUAAUAACAUGGAACAAUAAAAAAUUAUAGAUACGUUGGAGACGUAUCAAGCAUCCCCAAGCUUAAUUCCUGCUCGUCCUCGAGUAGGUAAAUGAUAAAAACAGAAUUUUUGAUGCGGAAUGCUACCUAGCAUAUUUCUCAAUGCAAUUUUCUUUAUUGUGGCAUGAAUGUUCAGAUCCAAAUGAUUCAAGAUAAAAGUUCAUAUUGACAUGAAAACAAUAAUACUUUAAGCAUACUAACAAAGCAAUCAUGUCUUCUCAAAAUAACAUGGCUAAAGAAAGCUAUCCCUACAAAAUCAUAUAGUCUGGCUAUGAUCUAUCUUCAUCACACUAAAUAUUCAAAUCAUGCACAACCCAGAUGACAAGCCAAGCAAUUGUUUCAUACUUUUGAUGUUCUCAAACUUUUUCAACUUUCACGCAAUACAUGAGCGUGAGCCAUGGACAGAGCACUAUAUGUGGAAUAGAAUGGUGGUUGUGAAGAAGACAAAAGGGAGAAGAUAGUCUCACAUCAACUAGGCGUAUCAACGGGCUAUGGAGAUGCCCAUUAAUAUAUAUCAAUGUGAGUGAGUAGGGAUUGCCAUACAACAGAUGCACUAGAGCUAUAAGUGUAGGAAAGCUCAACAAAAGAAACUAAGUGGGUGGGCGUCCAACUUGCUUGCUCAUGAAGACCUAGGGCAUUUUGAGGAAGCCCAUCAUUGGAAUAUACAAGCCAAGUUCUAUAAUGUAAAAUUCCCACUAGUAUAUGAAAGUGACAACAUAGGAGACUCUCUAUCAUGAAGAUCAUGGUGCUACUUUGAAUCACAAGUGUGGAAAAAGGAUAGUAACAUUGUCCCUUCUCUCUUUUUCUCUCAUAUUUUUUAUUUUGGUGGGCUUCUUUGGCCUCUCUUUUUUGUUUGGGCUUCUUUGGCCUCUUUUAUUUUUCAUAAAGUCCGAAGUCUCAUCCUGACUUGUGGGGGAAUCAUAGUCUCCAUCAUCCUUUCCUCACUUGGGACAAUGCUCUAAUAAUGAAGAUCAUCACACUUUUAUUUACUUACAACUCAAGAAUUACAACUCAAUACUUAGAACAAAAUACGACUCUAUGUGGAUGCCUCCGACAGUGUACCGGGAUAUGCAAUGAAUCAAGAGUGACAUGUAUGAAAGAAUUAUGAAUGGUGGCUUUGCCACAAAUACGAUGUCAACUACAUGAUCAUGCAAAAGCAAUAUGACAAUGAUGAUGCGUGUCAUAUUAAACGGGGCGGUGGAAAGUUGCAUGGCAAUAUAUCUUGGAAUGUCUAUGGAAAGGCCAUGAUAGGUAGGUAUGUGCUACGUCUUGAGCUUUCGUUGGUUUUCCUUGAAGAGGAAAGGGUGAUACAGCAAUAGUAGCGUAAGUACUUCCCUCAGUUUUUGAGAACCAAGGUAUCAAUCCAGUAGGAGGCUCCUCAAAAGUCCCAUGCACCUACACAAACAAACAAGAACUCGCAACCAACGCAAUAAAGGGGUUGUCAAUCCCUUCACGACCACUUGCAAAAGUGAGAUCUGAUAGAGAUAAUAUGAUAAGAUAAAUAUAUUUUUGGUAUUUUUACGAUAUAGAUUGGAAAAGUAAAGAUGCAAAUAAAAGUAGAUUGAAAUCUUAUAUGAUAAAAGAUAGACCCGGGGGCCAUAGGUUUCACUAGUGGCUUCUCUCAAGAUAGCAUAAGUAUUACGGUGGGUGAAGAAAUUACUGUCGAGCAAUUAAUAGAAAAGCAAAUAAUUAUGAGAUUAUCUAGGCACGAUCAUGUAUAUAGGCAUCACGUCCGUGACAAGUAGACCGACUCCUGCUUGCAUCUACUACUAUUACUCCACACAUCGACCGCUAUCCAGCAUGCAUCUAGAGUAUUAAGUUCAUAAAGAACAGAGUAACGCAUUAAGAAAGAUGACAUGAAGAAGAGGGAUAAACUCAUGCAAUAUGAUAUAAACCCCAUAUUUUUAUCCUCGAUGGCAACAAUACAAUACGUGCCUUGCUGCCCCUGCUGUCAUUGGGAAAGGACACCGCAAGAUUGAAUCCAAAGCUAAGCACUUCUUCCAUUGCAAGAAAGAUCAAUCUAGUAGGCCAAACCAAACUGAUAAUUCGAAGAGACUUGCAAAGAUAACUUAAUCACACAUAAAAGAAUUCAGAGGAGAUUCAAAUAUUUCUCAUAGAUAAACUUGAUCAUAAACCCACAAUUCAUCGGAUCUCGACAAACACACCACAAAAAGAGUUACAUUGAAUAGAUCUCCAAGAAGAUCGAGGAGAACUUUGUAUUGAGAUUCAAAGAGAGAGAAGAAGCCAUCUAGCUAAUAACUAUGGACCCGAAGGUCUGUGGUAAACUACUCACAACUCAUUGGAAGGGCUAUGGUGUUUAUGUAGAAGCCCUGCAUGGUUGAUUCCCCCUCCGGUGGAGCACCGGCGAAGGCUCCAAGAUGGGAUCUCGCGGAUACAGAAGGUUACGACGGUGGAAAUAGUUUUUCGUGGUGCUCCUCGAUGGUUUCAGGGUACAUGGGUAUAUAUAGGAGGAAGAAGUAGGUCGGUGGAUGCUCGAGGGGCCCACGAGGGUGGGGGGCGUGUCCACCCGUAGGGGGCGUGCCGGGCACCCUCGUGGCCGCCUCCUUUGUUUCUUGACGUCCACUCCAAGUCCCCUGGAUCACAUUUGUUCCAAAAAGAUUGCUCCCAAAGGUUUCAUUCCGUUUGGACUCCGUUUGAUAUUCUUUUUCUUCGAAACACUGAAAUAGGCAAAAAAACAAUUCGGGUUGGGCAUCCCGUUAGUAGGUUAGUCCCAAAAAUGAUAUAAAACAGUAAAGUAAAGCCCAUAAACAUCCAAAAUGGGUAAUAUAAUAGCAUGGAACAAUCAAAAAUUAUAGAUACGUUGGAGACGUAUCAGUAUGGUGGAUGUUUUGAGGAAGGUAUAUGGUGGGUGUAUGGUACCGGCAAAAGUUGCACGACACAAGAGAGGCUACCAAUGGUGGAAGGGUGAGAGUGUGUAUAAUCCAUGGACUCAACAUUAGUCAUAAGGAACUCAUAUACUUAUUGCAAAAAUCUAUUAGUCAUCAAAACGAAGUACUACGCGCAUGCUCCUAGGGGGAUAGAUUGGUAGGAAAAGACCAUCGCUCGUCCCCGACCGCCAGUCAUAAGGAAUACAGUCAAUAAAUAAAUCAUGCUCCAACUUCAUCACAUAACGGUUCACCAUACGUGCAUGCUACGGGAAUCACAAACUUCAACACAAGUAUCUCUCAAAUUCAUAACUACUCAACUAGCAUGACUCUAAUAUCACCAUCCUCAUAUCUCAAAACAAUCAUCAAGCAUCAAACUUCUCAUAGUAUCCAAUGCACUUUCUAUGAUAGUUUUUAUUAUACCCAAGUUGGAUGCCCAUCAUAUUAGGACCAAUUUUAUAACAAAAGCAAAUACCAUGCUGUUCUAAAAGACUCUCAAAAUAAUAUAAGUGAAGCAUGAGAGAUCAAUAAUUUCUAUGAAAUAAAACCACCGCCGUGCUCUAAAAAUAUAUAAGUGAAGCACUAGAGCAAAAUUGUCUAGCUCAAAAGAUAUAAGUGAAGCACAUAGAGUAUUCUAAUAAAUUCCGAAUCAUGUGUGUUUCUCCCAAAAGGUGAGUACAGCAAGGAUGAUUUUGGUAAACUAAAAAAUCAAAGACUCAUAUCAUACAAGACGCUCCAAGCAAAACACAUAUCAUGUGGUGAAUAAAAAUAUAGCUCCAAGUAAAGUUACCGAUAGACAAAGACGAAAGAGGGGAUGCCUUCCGGGGCAUCCCCAAGCUUAGGAUUUUGGUUGUCCUUGAAUUAUCUUAGGGUGCCAUGGGAAUACCCAAGCUUAGGCUCUUGCCACUCCUUAUUCCAUAGUCCAUCAAAUCUUUACCCAAAACUUGAAAACUUCACAACACAAAACUCAACAGAAAAUCUCAUAAGCUCCGUUAGUGCAAGAAAGCAAACCACCACUUUAAGGUACUAUAAUGAACUCAUUCUUUAUUUAUAUUGGUGUUAAACCUACUGUAUUCCAACUUCUCUAUGGUUCGUACCCCCGAUACUAGCCAUAGAUUCAUCAAAAUAAGCAAACAACACACGAAAAACAGAAUCUGUCAAAAACAGAAUAGUCUGUAGCAAUCUGUAACUUUCGAUUACUUAUGGAACUCUAAAACUUUUACCAAAAUAGGAAAUCCUAGGAAAUUUGUCUAUUAAUCUACUGCAAAAAGAAUCAACUGAAAAUCACGUUUCUGUGAUUUAUUAAAAUUAUUCUUGUGUGUGCAAAAGUUUCUGUUUUUCAGCAAUAUCAAAUUAACUAUCACCGUCGGUUAUCCUAUAGGUUCUACUUGGCACAAACACUAAUUAAAACAUAAAACCACAUCUAAACAGAAGCUAGAUGAAUUAUUUAUUACUAAACAGAAGCAAAAAGCAAGGUACAAAAUAAAAUUGGGUUGUCUCCCAACAAGCGCUAUCGUUUAACGCCCCUAGCUAGGCAUAAAAGCGAGAAUAGAUCUAAGUAUUGCCAUCUUUGGUAUUCAAUUUAUAAGUGGAUCGCAUAAUAGAUUCAUAAGGUAAUUUGAUUUUAUUUCUAGGAAAUUGUUCCAUGCCUUUCCUUAAUGGAAAUUGGAAUCUAAUAUUUCCUUCCUUCAUAUUAAUAAUUGCACCAAUCGUUCUAAGGAAAGGUCUACCAAGAAUAAUAGGACAUGAAAGAUUGCAAUCUAUAUCAAGAAUGAUAAAAUCUACGGGCACAUAAUUACAAUUUGCAACAAUAAGAACAUUAUUAAUCCUUCCCAUAGGUUUAUUAAUAGUGGAAUCCGCAAGGUGCAAGUUUAAAGAGCAAUCAUCAAAAUCAGGAAACCUAACACAUCACACAAAGUUUUUGGAAUCGUGGAAACACUAGCACCCAAAUCACACAAAGCAUAGCAUUCAUGAUCUUUAAUUUUAAUUUUAAUAGUAGGUUCCCACUCAUCAUAAAGUUUUCUAGGGAUAGAAACUUCUAACUCAAGUUUUUCUUCAUAAGAUUGCAUCAAAGCAUCAACGAUAUGUUUGGUAAAAGCUUUAUUUUGACUAUAAGCAUGAGGAGAAUUCAACACGGAUUGCAACAAGGAAGUACAAUUUACUAAAGAACAAUUAUCAUAAUUAAAUUCCUUGAAAUCCAAAAUAGUAAGUUCAUUGCUAUGUAAAGUUUUGACCUCUCCAAUCCCACUUUUACCAAAUUUAGCAUCAAGAUCUAAGAACUCCGAAUCAUUGGGACGCCUUUUAACUAAAGUUGACUCAUCUCUCCCAUUAUUAUCAAGAAUCAUAUUGCAAAACAAAGUUUUAAUAGGGGACACAUCAAUCACUUUUAGAUCUUCAUCAUUAUUAUCAUGAAAACUAGAAGAACACGCUCUUACAAAGCAAUCUUUCUUAGCAUGCAUCCUAGCGGUUCUUUCUUUGCACUCAUCAAUGGAAAUUCUCAUGGCUUUGAGAGACUCAUUGAUAUCAUGCUUAGGUGGAAUAGAUCUAAGUGUCAAAGAAUCAACAUCAAGAUAAAUUAUAUCCAUGUUCCUAGCCAACUCAUCAAUCUUAGGCAAUUUUUCUUCAAACAAAGCAUUGAAAUUCUUUUGAGAAAUCAUAAAUUCUUUAACACUAAUCUCAAAAUCAGAGGGAAUCUUAUUAAAAUUUCCAUAAGAGUUGUUGUAGUAAUUACCAUAAUUAUUAGAGGAAUUACUAGGAAACGACCUAGGAUUAAAGUUUCCUCUAUAUGCGUUGUUACCAAAAAUAUUCCUACCAACAAAAUUCACAUCCAUAGAUUCAUUAUUAUUCUCAAUCAAAGUAGACAAAGGCAUAUCAUUAGGAUCAAUUGGAGCACUAUUAUUAGCAAACAAUUUCAUAAGUUCAUCCUUCUUUCCACUCAAAACAUUAAUCUCUUCUAUCGCAUGAACCUUUUUACUAGUAGAUCUUUCGGUGUUUCAUUGAGAAUAAUUAACCAUAAUAUUAUCUAGGAGUUUAGUAGCUUCUCCUAAAGUGAUUUCCAUAAAAGUACCUCCCACGGCCGAAUCUAAAAGAUUUCUAGAAGCAAAAUUCAAUCCGGCAUAAAAAUUUUGUAUGAUAAUCCAUAAAUUUAAUCCAUGAGCAGGGCAAUUGUGAAUCUUUAAUUUUAUCCUCUCCCAAGAUUGUGCAACAUGUUCAUAAUCAAAUUGCUUAAAAUUCAUAAUAUCAUUUCUAAGAGAGAUGAUCUUAGCGGGAUGAAAAUACUUAGAGAUAAAAGCAUCUUUGCACUUAUUCCAUGAAUCAAUACUAUUUUUAGGCAAAGACGAAAACCAAGUUUUAGCACGAUCUCUAAGCGAAAACGGAAAUAACUUCAAUUUAACAAUAUCAUUAUCCAUAUCUUUCUUCUUUUUCAUGUCACACAAAUCAACAAAGUUGUUUAGAUGAGUAGUGGCAUAUUCACUAGGAAGGCCAGAGAAUUGAUCUUUCAUAACAAGAUUCAACAAAGCAGCAUUGAUUUCACAAGAUUCAGCAUCAUUAAGAGGAGCAAUCGGAGUGCUAAGGAAAUCAUUGUUGUUGAUAUUGGAAAAGUCACACAAUUUAGUAUUAUCUUGAGCCAUCGUGACAAGCAAUCCAACACACAAGUACACAAGAGGCAAGCAAAAAAGAGGCGAAUGGGAAGGAGAGGGCGAAUAAAACGGCAAGGGUGAAGUGGGGGAGAGGAAAACGAGAGGCAAAUGGCAAAUAAUGUAAUGCGAGGGAGAAGAGUUUGUGAUGGGUACUUGGUAUGUCUUGACUUGUGCGAAGACCUCCCCAGCAACGGCGCCAGAAAUCCUUCUUGCUACCUCUUGAGCACUGCGUUGGUUUUCCCUUGAAGAGGAUAGGGUGAUGCAGCAAAGUAGAGUAAGUAUCGCCCUCAGUUUUGAGAACCAAGGUAUCAAUCUAUUAGGAGGCUCCACGCAAGUCCCUCGUACCUACACAAACAAAACAAGAACCUAGCAACCAACGCGAUAAAGGGGUUGUCAAUCCCUUCAUGGCCACUUGCAAAAGUGAAAUCUGAUAGAGAUAAUAAGAUAAGAUAAAUAUUUUUGGUAUUUUUAUGAUAUAGAUUGGAAAGUAAACAUUGCAAAUAAGGUAGAUUGAAAACUUAUAUGAUGGAAAAUAGACCCCGGGGCCAUAGAUUUCACUAGUGGCUUCUCUCAAGAUAGCACAAGUAUUACGGUGGGUGAACAAAUUACUGUCGAGCAAUUGAUAGAAAAGUGCAUAAUUAUGAGAAUAUCUAGGCAUGAUCAUGUAUAUAGGCAUCACGUCCACAACAAAUAGACUGAUACGUCUCCGUCGUAUCUACUUUUCCAAACACUUUUGCCCUUUUUUUGGACUCUAACUUGCAUGAUUUGAAUGGAACUAACCCGGACUGAUGCUGUUUUCAGCACAACUGCUAUGGUGUUAUUUUUGUGCAGAAAUAAAAGUUCUCAGAAUGACCUGAAAAUCCAGGGAGCAACUUUUCAGAAUUAAUAAAAAAUACUGGCGAAAGAAAUAGCGCCAGGGGGCCCACACCCUGUCCACGAGGGUGGGGGGCGCGCCCCCUCCCCCUGGGCGCACCCCCUUGCCUCGUGGGCCCCAUCGACAUCCACCGACCUCAACUCCAACUCCAUAUAUUUGCUUUCGCGGAGAAAAAAAUCAGAGAGAAAGUUUCAUCGUGUUUUACGAUACGGAGCCGUCGCCAAGCCCUAAUCUCUCUCGGGAGGGCUGAUCUGGAGUCCGUUCGGGGCUCCGGAGAGGGGGAUUCGUCACCAUCGUCAUCAUCAACCAUCCUCCAUCACCAAUUUCAUGAUGCUCACAGCCGUGCAUGAGUAAUUCCAUCGUAGGCUUGCUGGACGGUGAUGGGUUGGAUGAGAUUUACCAUGUAAUCAAGUUAGUUUUGUUAGGGUUUGAUCCCUAGUAUCCACUGUGUUCUGAGAUUCAUGUUGCUAUGACUUUCCUAUGCUUAAUGCUUGUCACUAGGGCCUGAGUGCCAUGAUUUCAGAUCUGAACCUAUUAUGUUUUCAUGAAUAUAUGUGAGUUCUUGAUUCUAUCUUGCAAGUCUAUAGUCACCUAUUAUGGGCUAUGAUCCGACAACCCCGAAGUGACAAUAAUCGGGAUACUUCUCGGUGAUGACCGUAGUUUGAGGAGUUCAUGUAUUCACUAUAUGUUAAUGCUUUGGUCCGGUUCUCUAUUAAAAGGAGGCCUUAAUAUCCCUUAGUUUCCAUUAGGACCCCGCUGCCACGGGAGGGUAGGACAAAAGAUGUCAUGCAAGUUUUUUCCAUAAGCACGUAUGACUAUAUUCGGAAUACAUGCCUAUAUUACAUUGAUGAACUGGAGCUAGUUCUGUGUCACCCUAUGUUAUAACUAUUACAUGAGGAAUCGCAUCCGACAUAAUUAUCCAUCACUGAUCAAUGCCUACAAGCUUUUCACAUAUUGCUCUUUGCUUAUUUACUUUACUGUUGCUACUAUUACAAUUACUACAAAACUGCUACUGUUACUUUUACCACUGUUACCGUUACUUCCAUAUUACUUUGCUACUAAAUACUUUGUUGCAGAUACUAAGUUAUCCAGGUGUGGUUGAAUUGACAAAUCAACUGCUAAUACUUGAGAAUAUUCUUUGGCUCCCCUUGUGUCGAAUCAAUAAAUUUGGGUUGAAUACUCUACCCUCGAAAACUUUUGUGAUCCCCUAUACUUGUGGGUUAUCAAGACUAUUUUAUGGCGCCGUUUCUGGGGAGCAUAGCUCUAUUAUUUGAGUCACUUGGGAUUUAUAUCUGCUGGUCUCUAUGAGGAACUUGAAAGACGAAAGAACUAAGAUUUAUCCCUCAACUACGAGGGGAGGUAAGGAACUGCCAUCUAGCUCUGCAUUAGAUUCUCCUUCUGUUAUGAAUAAGCUUGCGACACCUAUACCUGCUUCUGCUAUUAAUUCUGAUAUGUUGCAUGUUAUUGAUGAUGCCACUUCUACUAUGCAUGAUACUUAUGAUGAAACUACUUGUAUUCUUGAUACUACUGUGCCAUUAGGUGAAUAUCUGGAUGAACAACUUGCUAGGGUUAGAGAGAAUGAAAUUAUUGAAAUGAAAUUAUUGAAGAUAGUGAUGAUGAAGGUUCUCCCCCUAAGUAUGAACUGCCUGUUGUUCCUGAGGGUUAUGUUAUGGACGAAGAAACUGCUAGAGAUUUUCUUGCUUGCAAUGAUAAAUAUGAUCUUAAGAAGUUAUUAGCUAAAUUGAAACAGAAAACUCUGAAUGCUACAAUGAAAUAUGACCCUGCUUUUGCUACUUCACUUAUCUUUGUUACUGAUAAGGAUUAUGAAUUCUCUGUCAAUCCUGAGAUAAUUACUUUGGUUGAAUAUGAUCCUUUCUAUGGCUAUGAAUCUGAAACUGUUGUGGAACAUCUUACUAAAUUAAAUGAUAUAGCCACCAUUUUCACUAAUGAUGAGAAAUCUCGCUAGUAUUAUAUCCUCAAGAUAUUUCCGUUCUCAUUAAAGGGUGAUGUUAAAACAUGGUGUCGGUGUCAAAACCGGCGGAUCUCGGGUAGGGGGUCCCGAACUGUGCGUCUAGGCGGAUGGUAACAGGAGACAAGGGACACGAUGUUUUUACCCAGGUUCGAGCCCUCUCGAUGGAGGUAAAACCCUACUCCUGCUUGAUUAAUAUUGAUGAUAUGGGUGGUACAAGAGUUGAUCUACCACGAGAUCAGAGAGGCUAAACCCUAGAAGCUAGCCUAUGGUAUGAUUGUUGUUCCUCCUACGGACUAAAACUCUCCGGUUUAUAUAGACACCAGAGAGGGCUAGGGUUACACAGAGUCAAUUACAAUGGGAGGAGAUCUACAUAUCAUAUCGCCAAGCUUGCCUUCCAUGCCAAGGAAAGUCCUAUCCGGACACGGGACGAAGUCUUCAAUCUUGUAUCUUCAUAGUCCGGGAGUCCGGCCAAAGGUCAUAGUCCGGCCAUCCGGACACCGCCUAAUCCAGGACUCCCUCAGUAGCCCCUGAACCAGGCUUCAAUGACGACGAGUCUGGCACGCAACAUCUCGGCCCCGAACUUCAUCCUCAACAUCUCGGUGUUCAUCAUCGUGUGUGAGGUCUUCCUCCGCAUCCAGCCCCACUUCGGCUUAUGGCUGAAGACCUUCAAUGUCAAGCCGAAGGUUGUGCGCGGCCGACAAGCGGAGUGCGGAGGCGUCAUGGUGGGCAAGAUAGCCAACGCUACAUGGCUCGAGGGCGCCUUGGUGGAAACCAUCAAAGGGUGGCAAUCGGGGUGGUUCUACAUCACCGAGCCGUGUGACCCUGAAUGGGCAGCGGCCCCCGAAUUCCGAUCUGGCAUCCCCACACGGCUCACCUCAUGGAAAGAGACGGGCCUGUCGUGGGGUAAUUCGGCAGAGGUGACCGGACUUCAAACCUGCGUCAAAGACCUGAUCGACAGGAAGGUUAAACUCGUCACCGUAGUCCAGGUCAUGCUCUUCCGCCGGAUCCUCCCGUGUCAACGACGGGCUUUUAAUCUGUGGGAAUUCAACCCGGCCCAGCACCAAACUUUGUCCAGGCUCUUCGACACAACGCAUGAAGAUGCCUGGAAGGUGCUUUUCAAGAGCUCUGAGGUUCACCCUCCCAUUACCGAGGAUCGCGGAUUCUGCGCGAAGCGUCAAGCCAGCGCGGUAAGCUCAAUUUAUCCAUGACGGGGUAUUUGUUUUCGUAGUUUGACUCUAUGCGGGAUCUAAACUCCCAUCCCUUAAACAGAACUGGCAGAAGAAGGCCGGACAGAUCAACUGUCCGGCUCCUUUGCCCAAAGACCCAGCGGACGCCCGUUUGACAAAACUGCUGGUUCCGGCACCCCACAUGGUGCCGGAGAAGAAGGCCAAGAAGAAGGCCACGGGGACUCGAAAGAGUUCCCGACGCCUGGUGGUGUCGGACUCAUCGCCCGACGACCCUGAGACGCCCUCCGCCUCUGAAGACGAGGAGGAGGAAGAAGAAGCCUCUCCCCCUCCAGCGGGGGGAGGAAAGAAAAGGAAGGCCGCCCCAACUGGGGAGACCGGAGGGUCCAAGAAGGGGAAGACCCUUCUUCCGGACUACGCCUCCGACGCCGACGAUGGCGGAGAGGAAUGGCCAUCCAGGGUCAAGCCCCUGGCAAAAUCGUAAGUAUCCGGAUACCAGAAUAACUUAUGACGUUCCUCUAUUGUACAGUACCUUCUGACACCAAAUUCAAUUAUGCAGUCCACCUAAGGCUCAGCUCGGCGAUUCGUCGAGCGGCUCCCUGGACUCGUCGGAUGUGAAUAGCGCUUCACUCCCGACGGCUACCUCCCCCCGCCCUAUGGACGAUGCCGAGGUGGAGUCCCAAGAGGGGCUAAACCAGGAGGAGGUGGUCCUGGAGGCGCCGCAAGGUGACCUUCUGGACCCCAGGCCCAAAGGGGACAUAGCCCCAAAGGGAUCUAAGUCCGACCCUGGGCCGGACACCGCUCCGGAACCUUCAGUGAUUCCGGAGUUUGGCAGGCGGCCCCAUCUCAAGAAGGGCAAGCCUACGAUGUCGGCGGCCUCCGUCCAACCGGAGGUGCCGGACAACUUGCUGGAGGUGCUUAAUGGCGCCUCCAUCGAUGAAGAGCACCGCACUGUUAUGAGUGCGGUGAUCCAGAAGGUUCAGUCCGCCAAGAGCGGACUGAUGGAAGCCUGUACCAGUCUUCUAACUGGUUUCGAGGUAUGUAUUUAAAACAUGUAAAAAUGUUACCGCGUAGACAGUAGCCCCUGAUGCUCAGUGUGGCGUUCGGAAAGAAAAGCCGAACUGAGGAUCUAAAAAGAUAUACGCAGGAGUCUAACAUAAAUAUGUCAAUAUGGGAAUGCAGGCUGCGCUGCUGACCUCUGUCGCACUAACUGCGGAGGUCGAUGCAUUGAAGCAGAGCCUUGAGCGAUCCGAGAAUGAGCUCGGCCUUGCCAAUAAGCAGCUCGAGGACAAAGAAGACAUGUAGUACCUUAUGUAAUUGUAUAUAUAAAUACCUGGUUAAAAUGAUGACAGGACCAACGUGAAUAUUACAGGGGCCACAACCGAGAUGGUGACCCUGAAGGAAGCGCUUUCCAAGGCCGAAGACAAUGCGCCCAUGGAGUGCUCAGAGCGAGAGAAGCAAGAGGCGCAGGUGGCGGAGGUGCGGCAAGAGCUCGAUGCUCUUGUGAAAAAACAUGAGAGGUUAUAGCUUGACUCGAAGACUCGAGAGUCCGAGCUUGCCUCGACACUUGAAAGCGCCAAAUCUGCCAAGGCCGAAGCCCAAAAAGCCCUCCAGGAAAUUGAGGCGAUGAAAAGGAUUGUGGCGGGUAAGGCAUUUUUUAUGCAAAGCAAGCACGCGAAAGUAAAUUACCUGUUACUUACCCGAAUCCGGAGCUCUCCAGGAGCUUUCGCAGAUCUGCCCCGCAGUGUAUCUGACGUCGCCGCAUUCUACCCGGCCGAGGAAGGGAGCUCGACGGAGAAGGUGUUCUGGUCCCAGUAUGUUGUGGCCGAACGCCCGGUGCCCCUGAGCGACCAGCUGAAGCAGCUGGUCGAGCUUCAUAAGGCAUCCGAACAGGCCAUGAAGGGCCUGAUAGGCCAGUUGUGGCCUGGGGAGGUCAUGCCUUUGAGCUACUUUGGGUUGGUGCAGCGGCUGGUGGAUGCCUGUCCCCGGCUUGAAGUCAUCAAGCGCUUCGUAUGCAUCGAAGGCGCCCGUAGGGCUUUUGCCCAUGCUAAAGUGCACUGGGGCAAGCUGGAUGCUGAGAAGCUGGUGACAGAAGGGCCACCAGAGGAGAAGGAGCAUCGCAGGCCCGAGAUGUAUUAUGAGGGUGUCCUGAAGGGUGCCCGUCGUGUGGCGGAUGAAUGUACAAGGAAUGUAAUUUUUGAGUAAACUCGCUCGUAUUUGUCCUGUGCGCUGAAAACUUGUUCAUAUGCGCUAAGCAAUGCUUUUUGAAUUUAAAAUAUUACCUUUUGUGCGGCCGUUUAUUAAAUCUGAGAGAUGCAAGUCGUCGGCUUCUACCCCCAUGCCACAAGUGCUGGGGUGUUCGGGAUAAACCUGAGCGCUCUUGUUCCCAUUUUUGGGUCCAUCGAGGGAGGCGCUCAGCACAACGAACAAGGCCAUCGGACUUAUAAUGCUUUAUCACUCUCACUUAGCCAUAGAAUUAUAUAAUUUUAAAUUUCAGCGAAGCCCCUAGUAUUCGGAAGACCGAGUUCGGGGCGCUAUCCACGUCUAGGAUGGACAAAGCCAACUCCUCGCUCUAAGCGGCAUAAGUCUUUAAGGACUCGAAAAACCUCUCGAACAGUGACCGGUCUCUCGCCCUAUCAUGACGGUCAGUUUUAGCUUUCCCUACUGAGGUGUUAACCCAGCUCAACUGGGGCACAAUCGCAGUAGUUCUCCCAGCGCUACCUUAGCCGACAUAGCGGAACGUAAGGUACCAAAACAUGGGAGCCGGGCAAACCCAACUAUGGACCCAAGACAUGAUUCGGAGCCGAUGCAUAUAGUGCUAUAAGUUUGGGGUGCCGCACUCAUGAGAGUGUUCGGUCUUCUCACACCGUAUUAUGGGGUACUUAAGCCCCUGGUGUAUUGGCCGUACCAAAGUGUACGGUUGCAUAAUGUCAUGACUGAACAUAUUUAUAUAAAAAUAAAUGAAUACAAUAACAGACAAGAGCUAUGUAUUGUUUAUUAAAAGGGGCUGCUAUGAGAGCAGGACGAUACAAAUAGUGCAAUACGCAAGAGAUGGGAUUAUUUGACAUGUCCCCCUCCAGGGGCAAGCUACGAGACUUUAAGUAAGACAGGUAUUUAGCUCGUUAUAGAGACCACCUGGACAUUUGACGUGGCUUGUUGUCUCCCUGGCUGUUGCAUCGUGUGUUCGGCGAUUGUAUUGCCGGACAGGCCUUCCGAAUAGUGGAGUCCUGAAAGUAUAUAUAAAAAAAGAAGAAAUAGAAAAAUCGGGAGCCCCUAGUGCGGUUGAGCCGCAUUCUGGGCGUGUCGUGGUUGUGCCCCUCCCCUUAUGCCCAUGGUAUUUCCAGAGCAUAAUUAUGUACGCGUAGUACUGCUAUCGCAAUCUUGCGAGGGCUGGGGUUGGGGCCGCACUGCUAUGCUUGCUCGGAAUGUGCCAGCCGGUUUUGUUGUAGGUUACUUCGGGCGCGCUUGACAUUGUCCGGACGUUUAACAGCCAGAUUGGAGAAUUGCCUUGAGAGGCUACUUUGUACUUCCGCCGCCAGGGCUGCUGUGUGCUCCUCUGUUCGGAGAGAGCGUUCGGUGUUUCCAUUGACCGUAAUGACUCCGCGAGGGCCUGGCAUCUUGAGCUUGAGGUAUGCGUAGUGCGGCACCACAUUAAAUUUUGCGAAUGCGGUUCGUCCGAGCAGGGCGUGAUAGCCACUGUGGAACGGGACUAUGUCGAAGAUUAACUAUUCACUUCGGAAAUUAUCCGGGGAUCUGAAGACCACUUCAAGUGUAACUGAGCCUGUACAGCUAGCUUCUACACCCGGUAUGACGCCUUUAAAGGUCGUCUUUCUGGGUUUAAUCCUUGAGGAAUCUAUACCCAUUUUUCGCACUAUAUCCUGAUAAAGUAGGUUCAGGCUGCUGCCGCCGUCCAUGAGGACUCUAGUGAGGUGAAAUCUGUCAAUGAUUGGGUCUAGUACCAAUGCGGCGAAUCCUCCAUGACGAAUGCUAGUGGGGUGGUCCCUUCGAUCAAAAGUGAUCGGGCAGAAGGACCAUGGAUUGAACUUUGGGGCGACUGGCUCCAACGCAUAGACGUCCUUGAGAGCACGCUUCCGUUCCCUUUUGGGGAUAUGGGUUGCAUAUAUCAUGUUCACCGUCCGCACUUGUGGGGGGAAGCCCUUUUGUUCUCUGUUGUUCGACGGUCGGGGCUCCUCCUCGUCAUCGCUAUGCAGCCCCUUAUCUCUGUUUUCGGCACUUAACUUGCCUGCCUGCUUGAACACCCAACAAUCCCUGUUGGUGUGGUUCGCUGGUUGUUCGGGGGUGCCGUGUAUCUGGCACGAGCGAUCGAGUAUCCGGUCUAAAUUGGAUGGGCCCGGAGGAUUUCUUUUGAAUGGCUUCUUCCGCUGACCGGGUUUAGAGCCUUUGAAUCCGGCAUUAACUGCCGUAUCCUCAGUAUUAUCACUGUUAAUACGGCGCUUGUGCUUGUUACGACGUGACCUGCCAUUGUUGUCCUUGGUAUCUGAGUUACCAGGGCUCUUGGUCAUGUUAUUGCUACGAGCUAGCCAGCUGUCUUCUCCCGCGCAAAAGCGGGUCAUGAGUGUCGUGAGGGCUCCCAUAGAUUUUGGCUUUUCCUGUCCUAGGUGCCGAGCAAGCCAUUCGUCUCGGAUGUUAUGCCUGAAGGCUGCAAGGGCCUCUGCAUCUGGACAUUCGACUGUUUGAUUUUUCUUGGUUAGGAACCGCGUCCAGAAUUGUCUGGCCGAUUCCUCUGGCUGCUGAAUUAUGUGGCUUAGGUCAUCGGCGUCUGGUGGUCGCACAUAAGUGCCCUGGAAGUUGUCAAGGAAUGCGGAUUCCAGGUCCUCCCAGCAACUAAUUGACUCUGCUGGCAGGCUGUUAAGACAAUGCCGAGCUGGUCCUUUAAGCUUGAGCGGGAGGUAUUUGAUGGCGUGUAGAUCAUCACCACGGGCCAUGUGGAUAUAAAGGAGAUAAUCCUCGAUCCAUACCGCAGGAUCUGUUGUGCCAUCGUAUGAUUCGAUGUUUACGGGUUUAAAACCCUCGGGGAUUUGAUGAUCUAUUACUUCGUCUGUGAAGCAUAGUGGGUGUGCAGCGCCUCUGUACUGGGCUAUAUCACGAUGUAGCUCGGAUGAGCUUUGUCUGUUGCGUUUGGCCUAGCCGUAUUUGCCAUAUCCGGCGUGACGGUUAUCGUCACGUGACGUGAGGCGCCCACGCGAUCCGUAGAUUGAUCUUGUUUGCCUUGCCUUGUCCUCCAAUAUGUCUCGCAGGUCUGAUGCGUUUCCCCGUGCCCUGGUAUUUUUUGAGCGGCGUCGGGGUGCGGCUUGAGUUGAGGGCCGAGAGGCCUCUCUGUCGCGGCCACGGGGUGGCCGAUCGGCCGCAUCAUACGCUGGUGAUAUAGGUUUAGUUGCUUCCUCCUCUAGUUGGGUAGCAGCCUGCGCUUUUGGUAGCUCUUGGAGGGGCGCUCGAGUUUGUACUCUUCGGCCGCCAGGACUUCAGUCCAUCUGUCGGCUAGCAAAUCUUGGUCAGCUCUAAGCUGCUGCAGUUUUCUUUUGAGGCUGUUUAUUGUGGCCAUAAGCCUGCGUUUGAAACACUCUUGUUCGGCGGGAUCCUCAGGCACGACUAAUUCAUCAUCGUCGAGGCUUGCCUCAUCUUCGGAGGGAGGCAUAUAAUUGUCGUCCUCGACCUCCCUGUCUGCCGCUCUCUCAUGAGGGUUGGCUUCUCCGUCCUCCUGCGCUGAAUCCUGCUGGAGGGGGUUGUCUUCGGCACUGUCCGGGGUGUUGUUAUCUCCAGUGCCGGACUCGCCAUUUUUGCUUUGGCGGGAUUUAGAGCGGCGCCGCUGACGCCGGCGCUUAGGUUGUUUCUUGGAGGGGUCAUCCUCCGUUUUUUCAUCGCCAUUCCCUGCUUUUGGGGUGUCCACCAUGUAUAUGUCAUAUGACGAGGUGGCUUUCCAGUGCCCUAUAGGUGCUGGUUCUUGGUCGUCUCCUUCAUCGGCGUCCAUAUCGUCGAUGUCUUCGGAGUCGUAGUCGAGCAUGUCGGUUAAAUCGUCGACAGUGGCUACGAAGUGGGUGGUGGGUGGGUUUCGAAUUUCUUCAUCGUCCGCAUCCCAACCUUGCUGACCAUAGUCCGGCCAGGGCUCUCCUGACAAAGAGAGAGACUUUAGUGAAUUCAGGAUGUCGCCAAAGGGCGAGUGCUGAGAGACGUCCGCGGCGGUGAACUCCAUGAUCGGAGCCCAAUUGGGUUCGAUUGGAAGGGGUGCGGAAGAUUCGGAGUCCGGAAAGGAUUCCGGCACCUUGGAGUCAUGAGCUCCGUGAGGGACAAGAUUGGUGUUCGGCUCGAUCACCGUAGAUAUUGCAGCCCCCGAGGCGGCGUCUAGCCACCCGUCCUCGACGGGCGCAGUCGGCUCCGAGCUGAGGGUCGGAGCAGACACCUAAGUGGCGCUCUGGGCACUGUCCGGCGGCAGAGCUAGAUCAUGCCCAUCGUGACAGCGUGGCGCGCUCGGCUGCGGCUCGAAUCCAUCGAAGAUCAAGUCUCCGUGGAUGUCAGUCGUGUAGUUUAAACUUCCAAAUCUGACCUGAUGGCGAGGGGCGUAGCUUUCGAUCUACUCUAGAAGGCCAAGCGAAUUGGCCCGCAGUGCAAAGCCGCCGAACACGAAGAUCUGUCCGGGGAGAAAAGUCUCACCCUAGAGCGCGUCGUGGUUGAUGAUCGAAGAAGCCAUCUGGCCUAAAUGUGACGACACAGAGGAACUCUCAAUGAAAGCACCAAUGUCGGUGUCAAAACCGGCGGAUCUCGGGUAGGGGGUCCCGAACUGUGCGUCUAGGCGGAUGGUAACAGGAGACAAGGGACACGAUGUUUUUACCCAGGUUUGGGCCCUCUCGAUGGAGGUAAAACCCUACUCCUGCUUGAUUAAUAUUGAUAAUAUGGGUAGUACAAGAGUUGAUCUACCACGAGAUCAGAGAGGCUAAACCCUAGAAUCUAGCCUAUGGUAUGAUUGUUGUUCCUCCUACGGACUAAAACUCUCCGGUUUAUACAGACACCGGAGAGGGCUAGGGUUACACAGAGUCGGUUACAAUGGGAGGAGAUCUACAUAUCGUAUCGCCAAGCUUGCCUUCCAUGCCAAGGAAAGUCCUAUCCGGACACGGGAUGAAGUCUUCAAUCUUGUAUCUUCAUAGUCCAGGAGUCCGGCCAAAGGUCAUAGUCCGGCCAUUCGGACACCCCCUAAUCCAGGACUCCCUCACCUGGUUUAAUUAUCUUGAUCCUGGUUGUGUGCAUAGUCCCCUGGAUAUGAUUUAUUACUUCUCUGCUAAAUAUUUCCCUGCUCACAAGAAACAAGCUGCCUUGAGGGAAAUAUAUAAUUUUGUGCAAAUUGAAGAAGAGAGUCUCCCACAAGCUUGGGGGAGGCUUCUCCGAUCACUUAAUGCUUUGCCUGAUCAUCCUCUUAAGAAAAAUGAAAUACUUGAUAUCUUUUAUAAUGGUCUAACUGAUGCUUCCAAGGACCACUUGGAUAGUUGUGAUGGUUGUGUUUUCAGGAAAAGAACAGUCGACCAAGCUGAAUUGUUAUUGAAUAAUAUGUUGACUAAUGAAAAUAAUUGGACUCUUCCUGAUCCAAUUCCUGAGCCAAUUAAGCCAACUCCUAGGCCAAUUCCUAAACCUACUCCGAAGAAGAGAGGUGUUCUAUUUCUCAGUCUUGAAGAUAUGCAAGAGGAAAAGAAAUAUAUGAAAUAAAAAGGUAUUCAAGUUGAAGAUGUUAAGAAUUUACCUCCUAUUGAAGAAAUACAUGGUCUUAAUAUACCACCUAUUGAAGAAACACAUGGUCUUGAUAACCCACCACAAGUAGUAAAGGUAAAUUCUCUCUAUAGAUAUGAUAAAGUUGAAAUCAUGUCUACUAAGUUGAAAUCGUCCGCAUCCGGAGGUCGGACAUAGGUCCCUUGAAAAUUGGCCCGGAAAGCAUCCUCAAGUUCCUCACAACUUCCAAUUGAGUUUUCGGGGAGGCUCUUCAGCCAAUGCCGAGCUGGUCCUUUCAACUUGAGGGGAAGGUAUUUGAUGGCGUGGAGGUCGUCCCCACGAGCCAUGUGUAUGUGGAGGAUAAAAUCCUCAAUCCAGACCCCAGGGUCUGUCGUUCCGUCAUAUGCCUCUAUGUUCACGGGUUUGAAUCCCUUUGGAAAUUCAUGAUCCAGCACCUCAUCAGUGAAGCACAGAGGGUACACAGCCCCUCUGUAUCUAGACAUGUCGCGGCAUGCUGUCGGCUGUUGUUGCAUCCGGUGUUGAUUCCGAACUGGUAUUUGAUCAGUGUGAUCGUUGUGGUGACCAUAAUCCCGCGUCAGAGCAUGUCCUCUGGAUCCGUAGAUGGACCUGGCCGCACCGGCCUUUUUGUCCAGGAGCUCACGUAAAUCAUGUGCGGUAUCAGUGGCUGCUCUAUCGCAGCCAUGAAGUGGAUGGUCCGGCCGAGUGGUCGUAUUGUUCUUUGGCGGAAUGGGCACUGCGGCUUCGUCGUCAAAUUCAGGCAGCAGCUUGCGCUUUGGGUAGCUCUUUGUGUGGCGAUUGUCACCGCAUUUUCCUUUAGUGUCUAGCACCUUAUUCCAUCUUCGGUUGAGUGUAUCCUGCGCGGCUUUAAGCCUUUGCUUCUGCUUCUUUAGGAUCCUCGCCGUGGCCAUGAGCCUUCUGCGAAGGUUAUCUUGUUCCAAGCGUUUUUCCGGGAUGAUAAAUGCAUCAUCAACCGGACUGUCCUCCCCACCGUGGGCGGUUUGAUGAGUUCGGCCCCCGGGAUCGCUGUGAUCGGGCGUUUGUUCGGCGUGGUCUGGCUCUUCUUGCUCCAUUGCUGGGUUCAUAUUGUUGCCUUCAGAGUCUGCCGGAGUGUCAUUUUUCCUUGCACUGUUAUCGCUAUUUUUACUGUGACUGGACUUAGAGCGGCGCCUGCACCGUCGUUUUUGUUUUUGUCCAGGGGGUUUAUCCUCUGUUGUGUCCUUUUGUCACCGUUGUCUUCCUUAGGCGUGUCCACCUUGUAGAUGCCAUAUGAUGAAGUGGCGGUCCAACGCCCCGUGGGCGGUGGUUCCAGAUUGCCCCCUGCGUCGACAUCCAUACUGUCGAUGUCGUCGGGGUCGAAAUUAAGCAUGUCUGUUAGGUCAUCGAUAGUGGCUAUGAAGUGGGUGGUGGGUGGGAGGUGUUAUCUUCGUCAUCCGUGUCCCACCCGGGCCGGACAUAGUUUGGCAAAGAGUCUUCUGUCAGGGAGAGAGACUUUAAUGAAUUAAGUGCUUCGUCCAAGGGGGAGUGCUGAAAGAUAUCCGCGGCGGUGAACUCCAUUACUAAAGUCCAAUCGGACUCGAUGGGUCUGGGUGCGCGCGGUUCGGAACCCACAUCCGGACACAAGUCCGGGGGUCCGAUGACGCAGAUCUCCUUAACAGCGGAGUCUAUGUUCGACUCUACCGUCGAAGAGUAUGCGGCCUCCGUGGCGGGGUCCAUCCACCCGUCUUUGGACGACGCGAUCUGCCCCGGAUUUAGGUCCGGAGCUGCAGCAGGGGCGAUAUCCCAAAUACUAUCCGACAGCAGAUUUAAGUCGUGCUCGCCGUGACUGUCUGGCGCUCCUGACGUAGGCCUGAAUCCAUCGAAGAUCGAGUCUCCGUGGAUAUUGGCCGUGUAAUUCAAGUUUUCGAACCUGACCUGCCGGCCAGGGGCGUAGCUGUCGAUCUGCUCCAGAUGGCCAAGCGAGUUGGCCCGCAGUGCGAAGCCGCCGAACACGAAGAUUUGUCCGGGGAGAAAAGUCUCACGCUGGACUGCAUUGUUGAAGGUUGGGGGAGCCAUCGAGCUUUACAGUGACGACACAGAGGAACUUUCAAUGAAAGCACCAAUGUCGGUGUCAAAACCGGUGGAUCUCGGGUAGGGGUCCCGAACUGUGCGUCUAAGGCUAAUGGUAACAGGAGACUGGGGACACGAUGUUUUACCCAAGUUCGGGCCCUCUCGAUGGAGGUAAUACCCUACUUCCUGCUUGAUUGAUCUUGAUGAUAUGAGUAUUACAAGAGUUGAUCUACCACGAGGUCGUAGAGCCUAAACCCUAGAAGCUAGCCUAUGGUAUGAUUGUUGUUCUUGUCCUACGGACUAAACCCUCCGGUUUAUAUAGACACCGGAGGGGAUUAGGGUUACAUAGAGUUGGUUACAGAGAAGGAGAUCUACCAUUCGAAUCACCAAGCUUGCCUUCCACGCAAAGUACAGUCACAUCCGGACACGGAACGAAGUCUUCAAUCUUUUAUCUUCAUAGUCCAAUAGUCCGGCCAAAGUACAUAGUCCGGCUGUCCGGAUACCCCCCUAUCCAGGAAUGCCUCAGCCGCCGCCAAGCCCUAAUCUCUCUCGGGAGGGCUGAUCUGCAGUCCGUUCGGGGCUCCGGAGAGGGGGAUUCGUCGCCGUCAUCAUCAUCAACCAUCCUCCAUCACCAAUUUCAUGAUGCUCACCGCCGUGCGUGAGUAAUUCCAUCGUAGGCUUGCUGUACGGUGAUGGGUUGGAUGAGAUUUACCAUGUAAUCAAGUUAGUUUUGUUAGGGUCUGAUCCCUAGUAUCCACUAUGUUCUGAGAUUGAUGUUGCUAUGAUUUUGCUAUGCUUAAUGAUUGUCACUAGGGUCCAAGUGCCAUGAUUUCAUAUCUGAACCUAUUAUGUUUUCAUGAAUAUAUGUGAAUUCUUGAUGCUAUCUUGCAAGUCUAUAGUCACCUAUUAUGUGUUAUGAUCCGACAACCCCGAAGUGACAAUAAUCGGGAUACUUCUCGGUGAUGAUCGUAGUUUGAGGAGUUCAUGUAUUCACUAUGUGUUAAUGCUUUGGUCCGGUUCUCUAUUAAAAUGAGGCCUUAAUAUCCCUUAGUUUCCAUUAGGACCCCGCUGCCAUGGGAGGGUAGGAAAAAAGAUGUCAUGCAAGUUCUUUUCCAUAAGCAUGUAUGACUAUAUUCGGAAUACAUGCCUACAUUACAUUGAUGGAAUGGAGCUAGUUCUGUGUCACCCUAUGUUAUAACUAUUACAUGAGGAAUUGCAUCCGACAUAAUUAUCCAUCACUCAUCUAAUGCCUACGAGCUUUUCACAUAUUGCUCUUUGCUUAUUUACUUUACCGUUGCUACUGUUACAAUUACUACAAAACUGCUACAGUUACUUUUACCACUGUUACCGUUACUUCCAUACUACCUUGCUACUAAAUACUUUGCUGCAGAUACUAAGUUAUCCAGGUGUGGUUGAAUUGACAACUCAACUGCUAAUACUUGAGAAUAUUCUUUGGCUCCCCUUGUGUCGAAUCAAUAAAUUUGGGUUGAAUACUCUACCCUCAAAAACUGUUGCAAUCCCCUAUACUUGUGGGUUAUCAUAGACCGACUCCUACCUGCGUCUACUACUAUUACUCCACACAUCAACCGCUAUCCAGCAUGAAUCUAGAGUAAUAAGUUCAUAAGAAUAGAGUAAUGCAUUAGGCAAGAUGACAUGAUGUAGAGGGAUCAACUCAAGCAAUAUGAUAUAAACCCCAUCUUUUUAUCCUCGAUGGCAACAAUAGGAUACGUGCCUUGUUGUCCCUGUUGUCACUGGGAAAGGACACUACAAGAUUGAACCCAAAGCUAAGCACUUCUCUCAUUGCAAGAAAGAUCAAUCUAGUAGGCCAAACCAAACUGAUAAUUCGAGGAGACUUGCAAAGAUAACCAAUCAUACAUAAAAGAAUUCAGAGGAGAUUCAAAUAUUUCUAAUAGAUAAACUUGAUCAUAGACCCACAAUUCAUCGGAUCUCGACAAACACAUCGCAAAAGGAGUUACAUCAAAUAGAUCUCCAAGAAGAUCGAGGAGAACAUUGUAUUGAGAUUCAAAGAGAGAAAGCAGCCAUCUAGCUAAUAACUAUGGACCAGAAGGUCUGUGGUAAACUACUCACAACUCAUUGCAGAGGCCUUGGCGAUGAUGUAGAAGCCUUCCGUGAUCGAUUCCCCCUCCGGUGGAGCACCGGAAAAGGCUCCAAGAUGGGAUCUCAUGGGUAUAGAAGGUUGCGGCGGUGGAAAUAGGGUUUCGUGGUGCUCCUGGAUGUUUUCGGGGUAUGUAGAUAUAUAUAUAUAGGCGAAGGAAUUCGGUCAGGGGAGCCACGAGGGGCCCACGAGGGUGGGGGGCGCGCCCACCCCCCUAGGGCACGCCCUCUGCCUCUUGGCCGCCUCGGCUGCUUCUUGACGUCCACUCCAAGUCUCUUGGAUUGCGUUUGUUCCAAAAAGAUCUCCCCCGAAGGUUUCGUUCCGUUUGGACUCCGUUUGAUAUUCCUUUUCUGCGAAACACUAAAAUAGGCAAAAAAAAUAGCAAUUUGGGUUGGGCCUCCGGUUAAUAGGUUAGUCCCAAAAAUGAUAUAAAAGUGUAUAGUAAAGCCCAUAAAUAUCCAAAACGGGUAAUAUAAUAGCAUGGAAUAAUCAAAAAAUAUAGAAACGUUGGAGAUGUGUCACUUCAUCUUUGAGUUGGUCUUCCAGGCUCUGAUCAUCCUCGAUUUCGUCCAUCAUUACGGAGUCAACGAUGCUUAGAUGUAUAUUUUGUCGUCUCAUUUGGACAACAAGAGUAGGGUUUCUCGUUAUGCGUACGUGGCGGUGAGAUUUGGUGGCAGGUGUUUCGAAUCGAUUCAAGGGUUCAAUGGCAACAAUCACGGCUCUAGGGCACUGGUCCGUGUGGGCACGUGCACAAUGACUUAGCGACUGACAUGGACAAGGCCAUGUCGGCUCUGGUAGGGGAGCGGCUACAUUGGCACGUCGGUGACUUCUUCUGACAGCGCUAGUGGUCCAAGGUCCUCGAUGUAUAUUUUAUUGCGCAUGGGGGUGCUUUGUACUUAUGGUGAAACUUUAUAAUAUAUCCAUAUCCUUCUCACACACUAGAAACAAGUACAUCAUAUUGCCAAAGGGUUAAUUUGAUGAAGAAAAUCUCUAGCUAGAAAUGAAACCUCUAAAUUAUACUCUAGGCAGUAUUUUCUAGAGCAGGAAAUCUCAAAUGAACUAAAAUUUCAAUGGGACAAGCCAGGAAAGGAAAAUGAAAACCGCCACAACACCGGUGUGAAACCUUUUUUUUAGAGGUUGUCGGUGAGAAACUAGAGAUGCAGGAAAAUAAAUGGGGUAGUGUGAUAGUGCGGCUGGGCUGCAUCAGCAUGCUGGGGUGCAGCUAGAGGCCCAAUACACACAGAUUGGAAGCCCAGUGCCCAGAGAAUAAAUAAUUUUAUUUGAAUCUCCAUUUGCUCAAAAAGAAACCUUGAAACAAAAUUGUUCGAAAAAUAAUAAUCAAUCUCCACGGCUCGGCAUCAGGAAUAUUUUCAUACAUGAGUGUGAACGGUCAUAUGGGGCCAUUUCUAAAACACAUAAGUUUCGUACUUCUGACACUACUGGAACGAAAUUCACGGAACGUUCAAAAGAUAGAAAAAAUCCACAGUUAAUAUUCCCCUUGUUUGCUCUGUUUUUUUUUCUGCCAGUUCCCACGCAUCGGAAAUUUAGUAUUAAUGUGGCAAAUUAAGUAUUUUUAUUAUGAAAACAGACUUACAAAUUGGCGUCAGAUGUUGAAAAGAAAUGGUAAAAGAGGGAUACUUAGUUUGAAAUAUACGUUUUGUAUUUAACAUUAUAUACUAUUCAUAGAUCUACUGAAAUUGUUCACAGUGCUCACCAUUUUUUUAAAUAAUCCAUUUUUUUUAUUUUACUGUUCAUCCGAGCUCACAUAGCUCGGGCUUAACAACACUUUCGGAGCGAAAUCUUCUUUUUAGGGGUCACCGGUGAGAAACUAGAGACGCGUGAAAAAAAAAAUGGGGGAGUGUGAUAGUGGGGCUGGGAUGCAUCGGCAUGUGGGAGUGCAGCUAGAGGCCCAAUGCACACGGACUGGAAGCCAGUGCCCACAGAAUACUUAGUUUGAAAUAUAUGUUCUGUAUUUAACAUUUUAUACUGUUCGUAGAUCUACUGAAAUUGUUUCCUUUAAUAAUGAUAAAAACAGAGUUUUUCUAUAGACGAACGCUGCUACUCCAAUAUCUGUUUCAUCCUUGGGUGAAUCCAAUUUUUUAUUUUUAUUUUUGCGAAAUGGGUGAAUCCAAAAUUAGCAGUACCUCAUUUGGCUAACAUAAAUCAGAGCCGUCGAAACUCGAAAGUCUGUUUUGCAUCUAGCCCAGCAACAGGGGCAAGGAUAGAUCAAAGUUGAACUGUCCGCAAGAAUGUUUCGCUGCAUAAGUUUUGAAGAAUUUUGCUUACCACUCCAAUUUAGUGCCCUCGUCAUUUUUAUCUUUCAAAAUGAGAAGAUGUAAUUUUACUGUUGAUUCAUUCAGAUCCCUGCAGCUGGAUGAAAAGUGAAAGAUAACAUUCAGGACAAGAAAUUAAGAUGACUGACUGAAGUUGAGCACCACGCUUCAGACUGGUCAAGAACACACGGACAAGUCUCAUUUUCAGAUGCAAACCAAAUGCUGUGGAUGCAAAAGCAGGUGACAAAGACUCACAAGAUUCAUUUCAGCCAUAGAUUCACAGGAGAAUUAGGAUUGAAAGGAUUGCAUCUUUGGCCAUUCCCACAGAAAUCACAGAUACACAAUGCCGGCCUUGCUCAUCGAGAUCUGAUGAAAGGGCCACUACGCUACAUACAAGAUCCAACUAACUAGGCAACACGACACGGUUCCUCGGCGCAGGCUAGGCU
rnacentral:lncRNA from 1 species